UACCGCUUCUUUUCCUUCAAACGCAAUCUCGUCCUACGUUCCAGGGAAUCUUUUUACCUAAUCUCUUAAUAUAUAUUUGAAUGGCAUCUUGGCUUAAGCUCCUUCAAUUAUUGCUUUCGAAUAUUCUCAUGGUAUUGCUCUUUGUUUUUGAGGAUCCAAUUAAUAAGCAAAUCAUGGAGACUUGGCUGUUGACCCUCAACACUCUCGUCUGCAUUGACUCCUUCAAUAUCUUGGAUGUGAACCAGGCUUGGAAUAUUGGGUGUUCUUGUUUUUGAUACAUGUAAAGAGGUAAGCUAAGCAUCUCUUUCAAGAUCUCUCUAGCUGCUGCAGGGAUGCCAAAUCGCUUUCUUUCUUCAAGUUCCUUAGCAGGAGUAUUGUAUAGCAACCAACUUUCUUUGGGUUUUGCUCCAGGUUUGGGCCAAUUUUGAUGCCUUCUGUGAAUCCCUCCAUCUGGGCUUAUCAAAAGAGGAGGAAAGAAGUAAGUUUCUCUUCUCAGUUUCAGUGUUUCAGUACGCCAUAACACCAUCUCCAGCUUCUUUCAGAAGAGCAGUUCGAAGCAUUCGCAGAGCAGAAAAUAGUUUGGCGGACAGGUUCUGUCAUGUUAAAAGUUCAAUAGAUGGUCAGGAAUCUCAUCAAUCAUGAUGAAUGAAGAGAACAAAAACCCAAGACAUAAGCAUACCAAGUCCACUUCAGAUUGAGGUUGGGCAGGACUACAAGCUUGUGGAGGACUUAACUUCCCAGACAUUAGAGAGCCUUUUGCUGGAGUAGCCUCGGAUUUGCCCUGUUUUGAAGCUUUUACAGAGGAAGGGAAUCUACAAGGAGCAUGAGAUACCAGAAUGAGCAUCCUACCUGUUCAUUUCAGCUAUGAAAAACAGAAAGGUUAAAUGAUGAUAGUUUGUCCAGAGGAUCAUAAUAUGUGAGGCUAAGCAAAGCACAAGGCUAAGCUUGCUGGCUUCAUCCAACUCUUGGUCUCCAUAAUUUAGUCAAAGCCACCCUCGCUAAUGCUAUAUGUAAAUUGUAAAUUUUAUAACCAGUCGCUCCAAAGUUAAACAUCUGGACCAACCAACACAAAACUUACUCGGGCCAGAUUUCUGACAGCUUCAUCUGAAUUUCUUUGCAAAAACAUGUGUUUUGCAUAGGUUUUGCCCAAUGAAAGGGUAUGGUUUAGACCGAACAAUCCAACCCAAAUGAACUAAGACCUUGUCGGUUCUAUUUUCUCUUAUGCUCAAUAUCCACAUGCUUCUUCAGAGAAUAAUCAAAAGAAGCAUACAUUUGGCACUUUUCUUAUGCUCAAUAUCCACAUGCAUUUGGCAAUAGAGCACUGGCAUAAGUCUAAUGAAACAUGUACUCAAAAGAAGCAUGCUGAAAGGCUGCACCUUAAAACAAUCCUUUGCCCGCCAGAGCAUAGUUUGUGUGCCUUGGAUUCAUUCACCUGAAAGAAAUUAAAAUGAUCAUUUAACAUGAGAAAUUAAACAAUGAGAAUGGUAGAGUCGCUCUCUCUAUCACACUGAGUUAAGCUCUAUAUAGAAUUUGAAAAACCACAAGCACCUUUAACACUGACGAUACAGAUCUGUAAAUGUCACUUUUCUUAACUAUUUUGCAUUGUAUGAACCCAUUCUGACAAUAUAUCAAACCAGAAAGCAUGAAACCAACUCUUAAGAUGCCCUAAGCUUCAAAUUUAUAAUUAGAAGGCAAUAUCAAUUGAUAUUUUUUGCUAGAAUACUGGUAAUGUAGAUGACACUCACUUAGCAACUUUCUCUGGCGUGACAUAUAACAACUUGUAUUUACAAUAAUCAGAACAAAGUUCCCUUAGGAUCUCCUGUUGUUCAGUCCACUCCAUGUUGGCACUCAGGUAAGCAGCAGGAAUUUUUGCCUAUAGCACAAACCAAUAGGUAAGAAAAAUGCAUGCCACUAAAUGAGCAGUUUGCAGUAACCAAAGGAAAAUAAAUGCUUGACUAAAUUAGUAAGAUAGCUAGCAUACCUGUAAAAGGUGCAUUAUUUGAUCUUGGAUCAGCGACACGAGUGGAGAAAUUACUAAGGUUAUUCCAGGACAAACUAGAGCAGGAAGCUGCGUGAAUCAUUAAAAAAAAAAAAAAAAGAGUGGGUCCAUUGUUAAAACUGUGAACCAAGAAAAAGUUUAAUUUCCCAGUAUCACCAAAAAUUCAAAGAUAAAGAAAAUUUAGCCAAGCUGGUAUUCUAGAAUCAAUUCAAAUGCAAAAUAUUGUCAGAGAUAUGACUCUGGAAGUUAAACAGAUUGUCACAAAUGGAAACAGCAAAAUAAUGGAAAUUAAAUGAAACUAAAGCUGUGUCUAACAGAAUUAGACUUUAUUAGAGCUGAAUGAUCACCUGAUAUGUCAGACUUUUUCCACCUCCUGUUGGCAUUAAAACAAAGACAUCAUACCCACUCAUUGUAGCAUUGAUUACCUCUCUUUGAUUGGGGCGAAACGAGUGAUUUCCAAACACUUUUUUGUUAUUGGCCUAGCAGCAAACCAAGCAAACAGUAAUAUAGUAUGUAAUGAAACUAGUGAUUGAUAAAAUUCUAAGAAAUGGGUAAAAAUCUAGAGCAAAAGAGCACCUCCAGCUUUUUUGUCCAUGGGAAAUUUGUGCUGCUCCACUUUGAGCCUUCGAUAUAAUUAACUUCAACAAAGCUUGGAAUGUAAGGUUCUCUCUCUAAAGGAACAGAAGAAACAUCAAAGCUAUCAAUGGAAGAGAAUGAAACUGAGGGUGCAUUCCACUUUUCAUAUCCAUUCAGGUCAUUUCGUAGAUGAACCUGGGCAUCAAAUCUCAUGGGAUCUAUUUUGCAUGCAGCAGAUUGAGGUGUUUCAUACUGCAAAUUUCGAACCAAUGUGGAUGCAGAACAAUGUGACUUCUGUCUUUCCUUAUCACGAAGAUAUUUUUCAAGUUGCUGAAUUUGCUUAUUGAGCUGUGACCUAUUUAUGAAAACAGAAAUAGACAUGCAUAAGAGAGCAAAUCUAACAAUCAUUCGAGCUUAUCUCCCAAGAAAAGGAGCUGAGAGUGUUUUACAAAAUGCAAAAAGACAAUGGAGCAUAUUUUUCAUGUCUAUCAUACUAUAUUUCCUUCCAUGUAAUCCCAGAAUUCCUCUGCCAUACUCUAUUUCUAUUCUUCCUGUGAACUUUGGUUCACCUAUUGUGGCUCCAUUGAACCAAAAAAACCCAUGCAUCAAAAGGUAGUAUGAUAUCAUGGGAGAAGAAAAAGGAGAAGAAGCACAACCUAUCUUGGCGAAGCUUAUCUAUUUGCGCUUGACUCAGUUCAGCAGCAUUGUCAAGCAGAUCAUUUGAUACUGCAAUCAGCAUAUCCUUCAUUUCUUGUAAAUGUUUGGCAGCUUCUGGGCAAAGUCCUAGCUGUAAUGAUUUAAGAAUCAGGCAGAUCAAGAUGAGAAUAGAAUAGAACAGUGCAAAUAUAGUGCCCAAACCUUGAAUCCAUGACUGCAGUUUGAACACAACUCAGGUGGCACAGAAAUCUCCUCUGGCCUUGUAAAACUAUUUUGAUCUGCAGUUGGAGUUAUGAGCGGAAACUUAGAAAUUGCUGGUUGCGGUGUGCAAGUAGCUUGGUAGUGCUCCAUAACAAUUUGGUCCACAUCUAUACUCUGCCACCAAGCUAACAUGUGCAAGGAGCAUGAGAUACCAGAAUGAGCAUCCUACCUGUUCAUUUCAGCUAUGAAAAACAUCGAUGUUUGUUUCAUAGCAUCAUCACCAAUGUAUUAGCUCCCAUGAUUUAAAGAACUAUAUAUAUGUUAAAUCUAUUUCUUUUUUAUUCAUUUCGAUUUAUUUAUCCAUCAAAUCAAUGGAAAUCUUCAUUUUCAGACACUUGAAAAGCGCACAAAAUAGAAAAAAUUAAAAUUAAAAACCAACAAAAUUGAAAAACCUGGAAAUGUAAAAACUUGAAGAAAUAAAAAAAAAAAUUAUUGGAAAAGUAAGGUCAUUACAUAUAUACUAUAUAACUCAUACUAUUAGAGACAGAAUCUGAUCACAUAUAAUUAAUUAAAUCCAUUAUUGCUGAGAAUUACAUGCACGUAAUACAUAUUGAAGAAACUAAGAACAGCAACAUAUUUAUUUAAUUAGACUGAUGCUAAGAACAUCGAUUAUCACUACAAACAGUACUCAAACAUAAACAGAUUGACGCUCCAUGCAAAUAAUAGCUAGUUAGCUCUUGUCACUUCAACCCAAACCUCCUCACCAAACAGCAUGAAACUACUCCUCCUCUUAGCUUCAACCCUGAACUGUGACCCCAGGUUCUGGUCAUCCUCACGAUGAAGAACAACCAUGUCACCAACUCUCAGUCCAUAAUCAGCAACAAAUUGAAGCCAGCCCAUAGAAAGCACUGGAUUUUCACCAUUUCUCUUCAGGCAACGAAUGACUCGAAGCUCACCAUAGCAAUCUCUAACAUUCAAAUCAACAUAAUUAUUUCCAGCAAAAUCUAAAUGCUCUAAGCAAUGAGUUGGGAACGAGAACCGCACACGAACAUCAGUAUCAGUUAACACUUUGCUGAAGAUCUGCAUUUUUUUCUCAAGGGUCGUAAAAAGAGAGAGAAAUGGUUAUGUUUAAGCUAUCUACCGGAUUGAUACACUUGCUCAAGAUAUUGUUAAUUAGUGGAGACAAAGUGGAGACAAACAAUGUCCCACCAUAUUGCAAGUGGAAAUAUCUAACAUGGUGGAGAUGGUGGGCAUAAAUCAUGGUAUAUAUGUAUGCUCAGUAAAGAGUUCGACUGAUUUGAAAUGCUCGGUGUCUGUGUUGUGUGCAUGUAGCCCAAAGAAUAAAUAGUGUUUGUGUCAUCGACCGAGAGCGUCAGCACUGUGGGCGUGCAAUGACGUUUCUACUCGGAGGAGGCUAUGUGAUUUCUUUUUGACAGGCAGCGGUUUAUUUUCUUUAUUCUUUAUUAUUUUUUCCCAAAGGGUUCCUAUUAAGAUAGAAAGGACACAUGGUUCAGACAAAAAAAAAAAACAUAUUUAUCUUGUAAUCAUAUUUAUUUUUAUAUUUUAUAUUUAUCUCUCUAACCCGAAACAUGUUUGUUCUUUUUAUAUUUAUAUUUGUACUUUCUAUUUUAAAACAAUAAUCAGUGCAUUAAUUAGACAGACAAUUACUAUCCAAUCACAAUUAGUUUCACAAUUUACACGGCUGAAUCUUGAAACACCAGCCCAGUUAUUGGCCAUCUUAAGCUUCAAACGCAACUGCUGAAACCUUCUAGCUCACUCUUGACUUCCAUCUGGAAGUGCUUCGCCGUUAAUGCCAUGAUAUCCUCUUGUAUAUUUUACAUUGCUAUUUUUUUUUUUAAUAGUGGUCUUCAUUGAAAAUUAUUAUUAUUUUUUAAUUUAUCAUUUGACAUUUGAUUAUUAAACCCUUAACUUUAUUAGUUUACAUUUUUUUUAUUGAGUUAUCUCGAUCUCAUAUUUCGACUAAGAGGUUAGUCAAGUUAACCAUGAUUGCCUCAUUUUUUUUCCUUUGAUUUUUUUAUAAAAUUGAAUUUUUUAAAACAAUUUCAUACUUUGGUGUUAAAUUAUUGGUCCUUGAGCUAAGUGAUUUUUUCAAUUUUUCAAUUUUUUUUUAAUUUUGGGUUAUUCCGAGUACAGGUUAAUCAAGUUAACCCGGGUUAGCUUGCAUUUUCUUACUCGAUGUCUUUUUAUUUGACUUUAGUCUUUUUGCUAGGUCCUUUUUUUGGAAGUUUAAUUUUUUUAAUCCUGAUCUCAUGUCGCGAGUGGUGAGUCAAUCGAGAUAACCCGAGUUGACUUGGUGUUCCCUAAUUUUUUUAUGACUUUGUUUUUAUUUUUUAAUUUAUCAUUUUGCAUUAACUUAUUUGCCCUAGGCUUUGUUAUUUUUUUGCUUCUCCUUCUAUUUCAUUAUUUCAAGAGUGGGUAGUUGAUCAAGUUCACUAGAGUCAACUUGCAUUUUUGUUCACAAUGUUUUUUUAUUUAACUUAGACAUUUUUUGCCUAGCCUUUUUUUGGAGAUCUAUUUUUUUUCCCAUCAAUAUCUCAUGGCGUGUAUGAUGGGUUAGUUAAGUUAACCUAGGUUGACUGAGAUUUUUUUCCCUUGAAUUUUUCUUAUGAUUUUUUUUUCAAUUUCAUCAUUUUACAUUAAAUUAUUUUCCCUUGAGCUUUUUUAUUUUUUCACUUUUCUUACUAUUUGGUUAUUCCGAUGGUGGGUUGGUAAGUUAACAAGGAUUGACUCUACUUUUUUUUUUUUGACAUUUUUUUCAUCAAACUUUGGUUUUUUUACUAGGUCAUCCUUUUGAAUUUUUUUUUUAUCCUAAAAUCAUAUCAUGGGUUGUUGGUUUGUCAAGUUUUCCGAGCUGACUCGGGUUUUCUUCUUUGGCGUUGUAUUUUUUGAAGCUUUUUUUUUCAUCUUUAACAUUAGGUUAUUAGGCCUUGAAGUUUCUAAAUUUCAUUUUUUUUCUUUUUAUUGGUUCUUUCGGUCUUAUAUCUUAGGCUGCGUUUUAGUUAAUUUAACCAGAUUCUCUCAUAUUAUCAUCGUUUGAAUAUCCUUUUUUUACUGUUGGAAAAAGUUUGGUCCGACCCUCGGUGUGGCACAGGCCACCUUCUUUCCAAUGAACAACACUUAAAUAGUAGCAUUCAAGGAGAGGAACAAUGAUUUCCCUCCAUUAAUUUUUGUUGAUAGACUAGAUCGUUGACCUGCUUUACGCCUCAGGUUAGAUCAAUUUUUUUUUAGCAUACAAAAGAAACAUCCAGACAUUGCUAAUAUUUUUCAAGUAAAUAUUUUUAAAACAGCGUGGAGGUUGAGCCGAGUAACCUGAUCGACCUGAUGGAUUUAAGUAACCCCAUACAACCUGUAAAAACGUUGUUUGAUUAACAAAAAUUCAUGACAAACAUCUUUUUUUUAAAAAAUAAUAUUAGAAUGACAACAUAUUGAAUCGAUUCAGGCUAACAUGGAUUAAUCUGUCAAAUCGACGACCUAGAUUAUAAGCCCACGAUAACCCUAUAAAAAAUAAUUCAAAACAAAUUACAAAACUCAAUUCCCAAUCAACUCAUUGUUGAAGAAUGUAAAUGAAAAUAAUUAAUUAAACAAUAACAAAAACAUAUCUAGGUUAACCUCCCAAUCCUGUGAUCUGGGUCAUGAUAUCAAGAUAACCUCAUGAAAAGUAGACAAAAAAAUUACUUGUUUAACCCAGAUUAAUAUGUCGAACCUGCGACCAAGGUCAUGAUAUUGUGAUAACCCCAUUAAAAGAAAAUCAAAAUAAAUUAUAAAGCCUAAUUUUUAAUGAACUAUUGUUAAAGGUUGAAAAUGAAAAAAAAUCAAUUUUGAAAAUAGAACACAGUGAAAAAACUUGAGUCUACCCGGGUUAACCCGCAAAACACGUGACCCGAGCAUAAGACUAUAUAACCUCAUAGAAAACAAAAUAAAAUAAAUCAGGAAGUCUAAUUCACAAUCAAACCAAUGCCGAAUCAUGAAAUAUAAAAAAUGCCAAUGAAAAAGUAAAAAAAAUAAUAAUCAAGUCAACAGAGUUAACUCACCAAACCCACGACUCGAGUCAUAAGGCUGAGAGAACCUCAUAAAAAAUAAAUCAAAAUAAAUCAUGAAACCUAAUUCUCAGUCAACUUGAUGUUGAAUAAUUAAAUUGAAAAACAAUGGUCAAUUAAAAAGAGUGAAAACAAACUCGAGUUAACCCGCCAAACCUUAAACACGGGUUAUAAGUCCAAGCUAACCAUAAUAAAUCAUGAAUCCUAAUCUCCAAUAAACUAAAUAUUAAAGUAUGAAAUUAGAAAAAAAAAAUUCAAGAUAAUCUCAUAGAAAGUAAAUAAAAAAAAAACCUAAGUCAACCUGAAUUAAUCUGUCAAACUCGCGACCAAGGUCAUGAGACUGUGAUAACCCUGUUAAAAACAAAUAAUUUUUUUUUUAUGAAGCUUAAUUUUUAAUAAGCUCAUUGUUAAAGGUUGAAAAUGAAGAAAAUUAAAUUUAAAAAUAGGAUACAACAAAACAAUAUGAGUUUAUCCGGGUUAACCCACAAAACACGUGACCUGAGUAUAUGACCGAGAUAACCCCAUAGAAAACAAACCAAAAUAAUUCAUGAGACCUAAUUCAUAAUCAACUAAAUGCUGAAGGAUGAAAUAGAAAAAAAAUCAAAUAAAAAAAGUCAAUAAAAACUCGAGUUAAUUAGGUCAACCCGUCAAACCCGAGACUCAAGUAAUGAUAAUCUUAUAUAAAGCAAACUAAAAUAAAUCAUGAAACCUAAUUCCCAAUCAACCUAAUGUUGUAUGACGAAAUUGAAAAAAAAAUGUCAAUAAAAAAGGAUAAAUAAAACUAGAGUCAACCUGCCAAACCCGUGACUCGAGUUACAAGAUCGAAUUAACCAUGUAUAUAGCAAACCACAAUAAAUUAUAAAACCUAAUCUCCAAUAAACUAAAUAUUGAAGUAUAAAAUUCAAUAUAUAUAUAUAUAUAUAUAGAAAAAAAAAGGCAAAAAAAUGCUAUUGAAAUGAAUAGUAUUUUACAAGGUAGUGCACAAUAAAAGCACCAUCUCUUUUAGUUUAUAAUAGAUAUUUGACCCGCAUUUCACCGCUGGUUAGAAUUAUUUUUUUAACAAAAAAAUUUAUAUAUAGACUAUUUCAAUACUUUUUUGUAUUUAAAAAAAUUUCAAGUGAAAAUAAUAUAUAUAUAUAUAUAUACAUACACAUAAUCAAAACAAUUAAGAACUGUAUGUCUUAAUAAGUGAAAGAACAAAAACCAUAAAUGAUGACUAAAAAUUAAAACUGAAAAAAUUGAGAGACAAGUAUAAAUUAAGAUAUUAAAUUUUACAAGAUGUGACAUUUAAGCAGUUGUGCUUGCUAAAUUUGUUAAUUAAAAUAAUUAUUUUAUUCAAUCAAACGAUAAUAAAAUAGACACACACAUUAAAUUAUUUGAAUAAAAUAAAAGGUAAAAAAUAAUAUGCAAGGUUGCACAUAUUAGAAAUAUUAUUUGAAAAUAAAUUUCUUUUUAUUUUCAAAAUUAAAGUUCAUGUAUAUAAAAGAUUUAAAAAAUAUAGAUUAGUAAGAAAUAACUCCUAAAAAAUUAAAUGCAUAUUAAAUUAUAAUUGUUAUUUCAAAUAAGCUUUCAAAAAUGCAUAAAAGAGAGAAAGAAUAUUUAUUUAAAUAAAAAUAAAACUAAAAAUAAGAUUAAUUUAAAAAAAUAGAAACAAAAAGCAAAAGAAAAUAUUUUUUCCUAAACAAAAAAAAGUGAAAAAUGUCGUCUAUAGUAAAACUUGAGGGGGUGAACCCGGACCAUGAACUCAACUAGGUUUAAUAUUUUUUUCCCCUUAAAUUUAUUGCAAACAUAAAAAAAGUUAAUAAUGUCGUUCACAGUAAAACAUAAAGAGGUGAACAAUGCGGCAACACGAUGUUCAUCUCACACAUUUUCCCCUUAAAUUUAUAGCAAAACCUUAAAAAAAAAAAAAAAAAUAGUGUCGUCCACAAUAAACACAUGAGGGGGUGAGCAAUAUAUCUACACAGUGUUUACCCCAUACGCUUUAGUUUAUUUAGGGUAAACCCAGACCAUGAAUUCAACAGGGUUUAACAUUCCCCCUCUUAAAUUUAUAGCAAACUUAAAAAAAAAAAAAAAAAAACAAUAUCAUCUACAGUAAAACAUGAGGAAUGGUUUAGCUAAUGAGCACCUCUAAGUAACAGAGCAAUGAAUAAAAAGGUGAUCAAUGGUCUCAAUUUCCAUAUCACAAAAAUAACAACAACCAUCAUCAUAACUAAUAAUUCUUCUGUAGGCAAGAAAUCCCUUAACACUCAAACUACCCUGCAACAACAACCACAGAAACAUCUUAAUUUUAGGAGGAAAUAUACUUUGCCAGAGUAAAGUGCCAAAAUUCUGGUUUGCCGGCAAACGCUCCUGAUGGAGCAAGCAGUAACCAGCAGUGCAGACAUGGAAAGCGUUCUGUUAGAGUUCAGCAAUAAACUGUCGGAAGUCCUGGACCGUGUUGAUGAUGCGGGUAUUGAAGAAAUAGUUGAAGUAGUUGGUGGGUUGUUGCAAGUUGAUAACAAGGUAGUUGAUGAGGAGAAGCUUAAGCCAAGAAAGAUAGUCAUGUCUAGGAUGUUAGCAAAGAGCUUGCAGGCUGGGGAUCCGAUUUUUGAAAAAGUUUCCCGUGCUGUCUAUUUGGCUCUAAGAGGAAUUGUGCUCGGGGGCAGUGGACCCCGGGGAAGAAAAUUAGUAGAAAUGGCACUCAAGCAGAUUGGAGCUGUCAUGCUGACUAAAAGAGUGGUGGCAGCUGCUGAAGUAUUAGUGGUGGCAGCCACCGUAUCCACUGGCAUUCACAGGCCAUGGUAUGUAAAUCUGACCGAUAACCUGUGAUAUAUUUGUGCGUGCCGUAAGAAGAGAAUAAAUAAAUACAUGCGCACUGUACAGAGAAAUGCGUGUAAAGCUUAUGAUUAAUUGCAGUCGUAGAUGCCUGUAGAUGGUUGUAAUUUGAGAAUUCUUUGAUUUAAUGGGAACAAGAAGCUGUAAAUAGUAUUUAAGAUGAUAUCAAAGAUCUGCAUGGGAAAGGUAUGCUUAGGAUGUCGUCCCUGUAUAUGGAUGUAUUUGCUUGUAAGAAAACGCUGUCCUACUGCAACUAUUUUUCAAGAUAGUUCGUUGCUCCGGUGAACCUGUCACCGGCCACCAGCUUCAGCCCUAAUCAAAGGCUAAUUAGUAAUGAAGUCUGUCCAGACCUAUGGUUAGGUUCUGUUCACAUCUCUUAAAAUUAAGGUUUUUUUAAUUUGAUGAUAAAGAAUAUCAAUAUAUAAACAAUUUCUUUUCAUGUUUUGAAAAUAUUCUCGACCUUCAGCAACUAAUUAAGCCACCGUGACAAGCUGACAAGACAUCCACAAAUGUAGUUUCAUCUGGCUUACACCCGCCACUUUUCAUUUGCUCAAAAAUAAUCAGAGCUUGCUUAGCGUGCCCUGUCAAUAUCUGUAACUUUAGGUUGUAAUUUUUUUUAUAUAUAUAUAGUAGACGAGGGAGAAUAUUAUUAAGAUUUAACCAACAAAAAACGCUAAUUUUGAGCAUUAAACAAUAUUAAUAUUUAUAUAAGUAUAAUUUUAAAAUCUAAUACGAAGCCAUUGAACUAAACUAUAUAAAAUUAAAUCAUAAAUUCUCAAAUCCUGAAUAUCAUCAAUGAGAGUACCCUUCUCUCAGCUGAAUAAAAAAUAGAUAAAUUCCUCUCUGCUUCAGGUUUUGAUGACUCCAAACGCUGACACUCCCUAUUUUCAGCUUCAUGUAUGACCCCACAUUUAGCAAUACAUGUCAAUGAACGCGUUUGCUAUGAUCACACUGAUUCGUUGUGUUUUGUAACGAUGAUGUAGUUUCAAUGGAUUCACUGACCAAAUUCCAAGCAAUCCGAUUGACCACAAGCAUAGAGCACACGAAAUAAAAAUAAAAAACCAACAAAAUUGAAAAACCUGGAAAUCAAGCCAGAGCAAGGGAUAGAUAUGAAAUGUUAAAAACUUGAGAAUUACAUGCACGUAAUACAUAUUCAAGAAACCAAGAACAGCAACAUAUUUAUUUAAUUAGACUGAUGCUAAGAACAUCGAUUAUCACUACAAACAGUACUCAAACAUAAACAGAUUGACGCUCCAUGCAAAUAAUAGCUAGUUAGCUCUUGUCACUUCAACCCAAACCUCCUCACCAAACAGCUUGAAACUCCUCCUCUUAGCUUCAAUCCUGAACUGUGACCCCAGGUUCUGGUCAUCCUCACGAUGAAGAACAACCUUGUCACCAACUCUCAGUCCAUAAUGAGCAACAAAAUCACGCCAGCCCAUAGAAAGCUCUGGCUUGUCAUAUCCUCCAUUUUCUCUUCCGGCAACGAAUAACUCGAAGCUCACCACAGCUAUCUUUAACAUGCAAAUCAACAUAUUUAUUUCCAGCAAAAUCUAAAUACUGCAAGCAAUGAGUUGGGAACGAGAAACGAUGAUGAACAUCAGUAUCUGUCAACACUUUGCUGAAGAUCUGCAUUUUUUUCUCAAGGGUCGUAAAAAGAGAGAGAAAUGGUUAUGUUUAAGCUAUCUGCUGGAUUGAUAUGGUUUCUUGCAGGGAGCUAUCUGUUGAUUUAUAAUAAAAACUAGCUAGCUACUGUAUUCACGGUAGAAAGACAUCGAGCGAGAGAUUUCGGAAAUCUUGUUCAUUUGAUCGAUUUCGCAUGGCGUUAUUUAAAUCUUGGUGGAUUAUUUGUAGAUAUAACAAGAGAAACGCAGGCUUAUCAAAGACUAGAAUGAGCCAGGAGGCACGCUCGUAUUGCCUCUCGCGCACCUCGUUCGUUCUAGCUUGCUAAAAGCAAACACUUGCUCAAGAUCUUGCAUGCUUGGACUUGGACACUGGACACUGGCCAAGGACCCAUUUAAUAAAAAACUACAAGAAUAAAUAAGGUUUAUUUUUCAAUUAUAUUUUAUGAAAUGAAAAUUGUCCUCUUAUUAGACAUACAUGAAUAAUAAUAAAAUAUAUUUCUUAAAAAUUAUAUUUUAAAAGGUUUCAUUUAUAAUUUUAUCUAGGUUCCCUAUUUAUUAUAAGUCAUACGUCGGUUCUGGGUCAUGGUCAUGAACUUGGGAUAAUGUCCCCUCUUAGGAGAUGAGGCUUUCACUCCUCACUUUACUUAUCUAGGAUCAGUAUAAUAUUGAGCAUUAACAAAAAAAAUAAAAUUAAUUACAUGUUUAUGGAGUUAUUAAUCAUGCUCAAUAACUUAAAUAUGAAAACGGAGAUUUAUAUAAUACAUUGCAUAAGAUUUGUUAUCAGUUAAUUGUAUUUUACCAUUAUUAUUGGCUCUUGUGAUUUUAGAUAAAGCUGGUUCUUGAUCUUGCAGGCAUGCGUUUUCUUGAUAUUUCUGCGAGGUUUUUGUUCGAAUAAGCAACAAGGGUUGAAGGGCAAAUCCUUCCAUGCGUGUCCAAAAUUCGAAGUCAUUUUCAAUUCAAGGUCCACGAUAUAUUUUUUAUAAUAUAAUAAUGCUAGAAUUACUCUCGAUCUCCUCAGCAUGCAUCGAGUAAUCGCGUUUGGAUUUCGAGUUCGAGUGAUUUGAAAUGCUCGGUGUCUGUGUUGUGUGCAUGUAGCCCAAAGAAUAAAUAGUGUUUGUGUCAUCGACCGAGAGCGUCAGCACUGUGGGCGUGCAAUGACGUUUCUACUCGGAGGAGGCUAUGUGCUUUCUUUUUGACAGGCAGCUUCAUUUUUGUACUUAAGCAUUGCCCUUUACAAAUACAAUUUUAUGUGCUUGAAAUUCGAGCCUUCAUUUUGCCGCAACCAACUUUCUUCUUCGCGCUUUUCAAAGCCGCAAUAAUAGACUUAAAUCGGCGUGUCAUUAGAAACGUUGCCUCAUUGGCAUGUCAUUAGAAAUGUUCUUCGUGCGGAUCACCAAAAGUUAAUUGUUUUUAUAGUGAAAGUGGAUGGUUCUUCGCCUCUCUUAUUUUUUUUAAGUUCUAUUUUAAUUUUCUUUUACCAACAAAAGUUAAUUGCCGGUUGAUUAAAACAAUAUAGUGAUAUGCACCCCCGGGGAGCGAGCAAGCUGAACAAGCUGCAAGCAGCGACCUCAUUUUUUCAUGUUACCCUAUUAGACCAAGCUAGAGUGUUUUUAAGGAUUUAUUAUUUAAAGAUAUUAUUUUCUUUGGUUUUGAAUAAUUAUUUAAAAGUUAGGUUGUCGUAAAUCACAAGUCAUCCAAUUGUCAAAUUUCCAACGAUAAUCUACACAAAUCAUCAGUGAAAAAUCUCUUAAAUCCCUAUUAGAAGAGAGGAAUUUCUAAAAUCCUAGUGAACAGUUCCAAUGCUUUUUGAAAAAUACCGACGAAAUGUUUCGUUAGUCAUUCCCUUUAUAAUUGACAUGAUGAACAAUGUUAGGCAGAAGUGAAUACUUUACCAAUGAUUUUACCAAAGAAUUUUACUGACGGAAUUAAUUUUGUCGGUAAUUCUAUCGGUAUAAAUGACAUGUUAUUGUUUUUUUUGCUUUGUUUUAAUUCUUUUUUUUUUUCCCAUCGUAAUUCUCUUGGUAGAUACCGAGGGAAUAUUUCCGUCGGUAAAAUUUACUGUAAUUUUUCGACAGAAAUAUUUUGUCAGUAUUUUCAUUUGUAUUUAUCAAUUUUCUGGUAGUGCUACACCAUAAUUAAUAAUGUGUAAAACAACAUUGUAUAUGUCACUUGCUGAAAAUCUAGCAAGUGAUAUAUUUCAUCAUUUUAUGGACCUAAAAAUCAUACUCAUUUGCGUCAAGAGGUAUGAGAGUCGCCACCUAAUUGUUUGGUUUAGAGUCACUAGGAAACCUGAGUAUACUGGUCUUAUCAGAAAUUCUAAGGGUAAGCAACUGGUUGUGGCUAGAGAAGGUAUUGACACCCCUGGUAUAAAGAGGAUGGUAAAAGGGUAUUUUUAAAUUAAAAUAAAGCAUAUGGUCAUAGCAUAAAAGGGGAGGGGUAAAGGGGUAAAAUACCCUAAAACCAUCUCUAUAUCCCACUUUUCUUCUAUGUCGUCGGUAAGGCACCUUGCCCUUGCUGCCGGCGUGCUUUCCAGUGAUAGCCAAGGCUACCGUUUCACCAAGCAACAACAACCAAGGUCAUAGUUGCCUACAUCCACGCGAGGCCCAAUACUGCCAACAACAUCUAGCAUGCCUGUCACUGCCACCCACAACAACGUGAGACAUUGCUACACAUACUUGUUUUGUAAAAAAAUCUGAUUUCAAAAAAUCAUGAGAAAAAUUAACUUUCUAGAAAAAAUAUCUUUAUUUCACACAUAAAAUUAAUUUCUAAUUAACACUAAUAAAAAUUAAAACAUGCAUUCAAACAAUCCUAAUUUAUCUAACAAAGGCUCUAGUACCACCAUUGGAUUUCCAUAAUGGCAUACACACAGUAGAAACAAAAAUAAAAUAAAAUUUGAGAGUCCAUAGGAUAUUCCUGUUAGACAAAUUUAGAGUUGUUUAGGGAUUUAUUACUUGAAGAUCUGAACUUCUUCGACUUUGAAUAAUUUUUUAAAGGUUGGGUUGUCGCAAACUACAAUCCAUUUAAUUUUCCAGCUUUCAACGGUAAUCCACACAAACUAUUAGUGAAAAAUCUCUUAAAUCACUAUUUAAGAGAGGGGAAUUUCUAUGCUUAGAGUACCAGCUAUUUAUUUUGUGACUUGUAUAGUUUUUUUAUCUAACAAAUAAUAACAAAAAUAAGAGGCAUAUGUUACUAUUUAUAGAAAAAUCUAAAAAUCCCUAUAAAUUGAAAAACAUUUCAAUUUGCCCCUUGAAUAAUAUCCACAUUCCACAUAUUACGAUUCUCUCUAUGGAUUUGUGUCUUUCAUCUAUUAAAGGAACAUUCGUUUUUGCUGCCUAUCUGAACUUUUUUAAAAAAAUUAUUUUUUUAUUUUAAAAUAUUUUUUGUGUUUUUAAAUUGUUUUUAUGUGUGAAUAUUAAAAUUAAUUUUUUUAAAAAAAUAAAAUAAAAAUUAUUUUAAUAUAUUUUCAAAUAAAAAACACUUUAAAAAAUAAUUUUUACCAUAAUAUCAAACACAACUUGAAUUUUAAGAAAAAUAAAAAGAUUUAUACAAGGAAUGUGUAAUAGCAAGAUUCAAACACUAAUCAAUAAACUCAACCAUAUAUAUUUAUUAAACAAAAAUGCAAAACUACUCACAAAUUAUUAUUAUUAGCUAGAUUAUCUCCUUUCACAAAUUAUUAUUAUUAAAACGGACAUGUCUUGAGCCUCAUAUAUUGAACUCAUGCGAUUCAAAAGCCCAAAAUCAUCUACACAUCCAAGACUACAACUUUUAUAAAAGGUGUCAGGUCAGAUAAAUUCAUUUUGAAGAUAAAACUCCAAACGCAAGUUGAAAGACGAGAUUAGUCUCCUGAUUUGAUGACAAAACUAACAGUAGGGAGUUGUAUCUUGAGAAGGAAUAUGAGGGGAUUAGAAGGAUUGUUUUCUACAUCCUUUAAACUUCAUAUCUUUAGCCUUGAUCUUAUCAUGAAAUCUACAUACUAAGAUACAAAAAUAGGGAAAGACCAAUUAGGCAGUUGGGUUCUAUUUUGCUACUGGGAUUUGGAGAGAGAUUAUCUUGAAUGCUGGAAUUUUCAGAGAUCAUGAGCAACUAGUUCCUAAUUUCGGUUCAAUGAGAAUAUACUCCAUCUCCAUUAGCAAGUUGUGAGAAGUAACAUUAUCAUUGUAAUUCUUUCAUAUUCAAGUAUUUAGUUUUUCUUGUUCAGAAUUGUUGGUACCCAAUUUUUGACCCACCUUUUUGCUAAACUUUUUGAAAAAUCCAAAAAUAGCGAAAAACAACAAAAAUCCAAAAAAUAUGUUUUUAAUAUAUUUGCAUCGUUUUUAGCAUUUUCAAUGUCGUUUAAAAAAAAAAUUUAUUUUCAAAAGUCUUUCGAACGCGUUCAACGUUUUACACGUUAUUUUUAAAAAUCAUUGCUUUUCCUCGUUGAGUCGAAUUUGAUAUUGCUCGUUUUUAAAAAAUACAAAAAAAAUAAGAAAAAUCAAAUUUACAAGAAAAAAAAUGUUGAGAGACCAAUUUUGAGGCCUAAGCAACAUUUUGUCUAUAAAUAGGAGUUUCCACAACUCACACAAACGAGGGGGGCAAUCUUGGACCAAAAUUAGAAGAGGCAACACAAAAAAACCCUAAACAACCUAACCCUACCAGCUCCCACUCUAAGGGAGCGGUCGUUCUCCCUCUUGAAACAAAAAGGAGCCGCAGCCCCCAGCAGUUGAUUGGAUUUUUUUUUUUAGAAAACAAAGUUGUCGUCCCCCGGGUUUCUUGGUGGUUGCUCUCCCAGUACAGAGCCAAGGACCCCCAACCAUUUCAGCUCUUCGUCUGCUCCCCUGCACCUGAAGCAACCCCAUUCCCACAAAUCUUCCCUUCUCAAUCGUUCCCUCACCCUAGACAACCCCCAACAACGGCCACCAACCCUCUCUCUUUCCCUGCACCAAGACCGUCCCCAUCACCCCUCACUAGGCUUGCCUCCAUUUUCCCCUCUCAGUCGUUCUUUCCUCAGCCAACAGGCGAUACCCACAUAACCCCAUAAACCAGCACCCCACUUCCCAUCGCCUCUCCUUUUCCCCCGAUCUUCUCCUUCAGCUCCUCACCAGACUCACGAACUAGCCAAGACCACCCCCUCACUCUCCUCUCAGCCGGCCUUCGCCGUCAGCAGCAGCAUCCCUCACGAACCUAGAUCAGCCCGCUGCUCCUUCCUCCUCUGCUCUUUCAGCCCCUUCCAUCUCUGCUAAAUAGAGACCCAACUCUUGCCGACUAGCCUUCUACUACAGAGGAGACUGCAACAUCGUCUGUAGACCGGGCAAAAACCCAAAGGGCAACAGCCUUAUGGUCACACAACCGACCGCCUGAAACAGAGAACAAGGGGAAACGAAAAAGAACAUAUCUAUAGGAAGCAAAUCUAAAAACAAAUCGAGAAAGAAAGGGGACAAAGCUUGUUGUUGCGUUUUGUUCUUUUUGUAAGCGGCGGUGACUGUAACAACCCUGAUUUUUUUACAUUCUUUUUCACAAUAUAUUGGAAAAUUUCAGGUAAUUUUUUUUUUAUACAAGUUUCACCAAAAUUUUUGCAAAGUCUCCCCUAUACCGGUAGGUCCCAAGUUAUUGACAUAUACCCUGUUUACACUUCUAAUAACUCACAUCUCAUAACUUAAAAUCACGACCCAAUCAUCCUGGGCCUUAACCCAACUCAUUCUCAUCAACACAACACAUCUUAUUCAAUAACAUCAUUUAAUACAGUUCAAAUAAAAGAUUCAAUUUCAACUCUAAACAUACAUGGUCAAAAAGGUACUAAGAGUUUCAACCAUUAGAUUAAAGACAUACAUUCAAAUUUACGGAUUUAUAUUACAUCUCAAGUUUUAGGAGAUAAGUCUUUUACUUUACAAUUAAUUUACAUGGUCAAAAGCAAAAGAUAACUAAACUAGUAUUACCCCUGAUGCGACCCUAGUGGACCUGAAAAUAGAAAUUAACAUGUACACAUAAAUAUAAAAGAUAGUAACAAGCAAUAACAAUGGCAGACAAUAAUCUCUACGGAAUUUCUUUUUAUAUAUAAAAUUAGGCAUAAACCUCUUUUACAACAUAUAUUUUCCAUCUAUUACCAAUAUCCAUCUAAUAUCCUAUCUCAUUUGCCAAGAAUAAUUCCAUCUUGGAAAUCUCAACACAACUCAACGGUUUGCGAACACCAUCUCCUUAUAAAUCAAUUUUCACUUGAUACCAAGAUAUUCCUCUCUUGAUAUCAUUAGCUUAUCUCAUUCUUUUGGAAUAAUUAAUCAAUAAUUUUUUUUUCCUUUUCUAAAUCUGUUGCUAGAAGGUAAUCGCUGAAACUAAUAAAUCCCAUUAAUAUCAUUAGUCUUCUAAUAUUGGGCUAGACUAAUCAAUUUAAAAUAUACCAGCACCGAUGAAACCUCUUCGAUACCAUUAGCAAUCCAAACCUGGUAGCUAAUCCAUGCCAUUUGAUUCUUCCAUUCGUAUCGAAUCCCUUUCAUUUUCUUAUUAACAUCAUAUGCAUUGUAACCACGGUUGCCAAGUAUCAUUUGCACACAAUCUUAGUUAUCGACACUACGGUCACUAAGCAUCCUUCACAUAACCUUGGUCACCCUCAUUACAGUGCCAAGUAUCAAUUUAUGCCCUUAGCCACCAUCAUUAUGGUGUUAAGUAUCAAUGUAAUGUAUCCUUAGCCACCAACACUAUGGUAAUUAAUUAUCUAUCAAUUCCCCUCCAAUCUCCAAAUCAUUGUGUCUACCCAAUAACCACAUUAAUUAAUUUACUCAAAAUCUUAGUCAUAUAUUAAUUAUUUUACUCAUAACAUUUAGAAUUUACUACUUCUAACUUCAAUCAAUUAAUUCACAUAAUCUUUUCAAAACUUAACUAUUUGGCUAACUCAUCUCAAUUGCCAAUAAUUCUGGUAAUUUCAUAUAAUUACCCACAUAUUUGGUUAACCUUCCUUGGUUACCAGUACAUCUGGUAAUUCCAUACGAAUUACCCAGCCUCCAGUUAUACAUUCAGUACAUUGAUUCAUACAAAAUACAUUAUGAUUUAGAAUGCAUCUACAUGAUUCCUUGCAAAAGUAGGUUCCCGUGUAUCGGGUUUCCUAGACAUCUCGUUGGUGUGAUGUCCCUGCAGCAGUACAAAACAUUUAAGAGAAUGCAAAUACUUAAGAAUACUAAUAAUGGUAACUAACGGUCUGGCAGUUAAAUGAAGCAUUAACAUUUAUAAUAUCGUCAUGUACUUGGUAUAAACAGCUAGUAGUACAUAUAGAUGCACCAAUUUUAUUUUAUUUAUUUUGCAAUCAACCAUAAUCUUAAACCCGGCUAUCCUCUUAAGGCAUUAUUUGCUGAGGUUAACCGUUCACUCACCCCGAUCAUCCACUUCGGAUGCCAUUAGCCAAGCUAAUCAAUCGUUCGUCCCGGUCAUCCUUUCGGAUGCCAUUAGCCGAAGCUAAUCAAUCGUUCGUCUCGGUCAUCCUUUCGGAUGCCAUUAGCUGAAGCUAAUCAUUCAUGUGUCCCGGUCAUCCAUCCGGAUGCCAUUAGCCGAAGCUAAUCAAUCGUCCUCGGCAUCCUUUCGGAUGCCAUUAGCCGAAGCUAAUCAAUCGUCGUCCCGCCAUCUUUCGGAUGCCAUUAGCCGAAGCUAAUCAUUCGUUCGUCCCGGCCAUCCUUUCGGAUGCCAUUAGCCGAAGCUAAUCAAUCGUUCGUCCCGGUCAUCCUUUCGGAUGCCAUUAGCCGAAGUUAAUCAUUCAUUUGUCCUGGUCAUCCAUCUGGAUGCCAUUAGCCGAAGCUAAUCAAUCGUUCAUCCCGGCCAUCUUUUCGGAUGCCAUUAGCUAAAACUAAUCAAUCGUUCGUCCUAGUCAUCCUUUCGGAUGUCAUUAGCCGAAGCUAAUCAUUCAUUUGUAGAGUUAAUCAACCUUUAGUCAACAUUUAAGCGUUCAACAAUCUAAUAUCGGUUCUAACAAUAUGGUAAUAAUCAUGUUAAAGUAUUUCAAUAUUCAACGUAUGAAAAAAGAAAGGUGCAAGUCACCUACCUAGAAUAGGUGCACGUGCUGCCACUCCAUGCAAUUGUCCAAUCCCCACAGCUUUCCCUGUACCACCAGGGAUUCAAUUUUUAUCAACAAUACAACCAACAUCACAUCUUCAUUUAAUUCUCAUUCAACUAGUAUUCUCAAACCAAUCACAAGGAAUUUUCUUUAAGAUCUCAUACUCUUACUCAUUUUCAUGUUUAUAUUCAUUCUUAUUAUUUUGUUAUCAAAAGCAUCACUCAACAACAAAUUCCAAGCAAAGAUUAAACCAAAAAUAAGGAAACUCAUUCCUUUUGGGAUUUCUCCUAAUAUUAUUAUUAAUACAACAAAAUGAUGAACUAUUCAUUUUCUUUCGCUCUCUCCUCGUGCGAUUAAACAUAUGCAGCAAACCUUAACAAUUAAUAUUCUUAGAUCACUAUCACAACAACAAUUUCACCCUACUAGUUGGAAUCCAUGACAAUCUUCAUUAACUAAUCAAUUUGCCAAAAAUACUUAUGGCUAGCUUUAAAUACGUUUUAUUUUCUAUAUUUCUUUCAUUUUAAUUUCUUCAUGGUUCCACCCCAUUUAUAUCCACACAACCAACAAGUUAGCUUUGUAUUCAAUUAACAUGUUCAUAUAGCGAUGUUCCUUACUAUUCUUACACAAUAAUCAUACUUCACCUCAUAUAAAGAAUACACAAUUAAUCUAUAAUAAUACUAAUAACAAGAACAUAUUUCACCAUUACAUCUUCCAUAAAACCUACACCCACACAAUUCUAAUUUCAUCAAAACAUGUAUUUAAUCAAGCUUGCUACAUUUUGCCAAAACUAGUAAUAGAUUCAAAGGCAAUAAGUCAUCCAAUUCUGAUUAUUGCUCUAAACCCAACGGUCAGACUACAUAUCAUUGAGUUGUGCAUACUAUAUCUCAAACUCAUAAUGAUCCAACGGUUAGAUCUCCCUAGAUCUGUAUAAAACCGAUCUUACCUAAAAAUGGACGAGCUACUGUUCAACAUGCACGAAACCUUGCCGGAGAAUGGGUUUCCCAUCUCCACCGUUCAGAAUGAAGGAAACCUCUAGGCGCACCACAUAUCCAAAACUUAGCAUGAUCCAACGGUGGAAGAGAGAGAAAUCAGCCGGCGACCGAACUGCCCUGCAGGUGCAUUUCCUUUUUGUUUUUCAGGACAUUUCCGAUGAUGAUUUCUGUCAAAUGGAGUGUGUUCCUUCCAAUCCCUCCGGGCAGUUAGUAGAUAAGUGUAAUAAGAACCAUAUAUCCAAAACGUAGCUUGAUCCAAUGGUGUAAGAGAGAGAAAUCGGCCGGCGACCAAACUGCCCUGCAGGUGCAUUUCCUUUUUGUUUUUUCAGGACAUUGCCGAUGAUGAUUUCUGUCACAUGGAGUGUGUGCCUUCCAAUCCCUCCGGUAAGUCAGUAUAUAAGUGUAAUAAGAACAACAUAUCCAAAACUUAGCUUGAUCCAACGGUGGAGUCCUGAGAUAUGGCCACCGGAGUAUUAUUGGUUUUACUCCAAAAUCUGCAGCUCUCUCUAUCCGUUUUUCUCUUCUUUUUUCUCUUUUUUUUUUUUUUUAACUGAUGGCCUUUGCAGUUUUAUAGGCACCUUUUUUCCAUAAUUACAAUUUUGUCCCUCAUUCAUGCCUUUAUGUACUUUAUUUUAUUUUUCAUGUAAACUAUCUGAUUUAUUUCUGCUUAAAUCGUUAGUCUUUACCAAACUCCGAUUGGGAUGAGAUAUUUAACCAAGGUAUGAAAACAUAUUAAUAGAAUUCAUGCAAAAUUUCGUCUCGAUCCUAUAAUUAGAUUGACAAUUCUGCUUCCUAAUAUAAACUUGUUCAGUUCAUGACUUCUCAUAAACAAUCUAGAUUUUUCUUGUUCAAUCUUCACAAACAAAAAGCAUAUCAAUUAUCCUUCUAAACUUUUACGGUCAUUUUAUUAUUUUGAAAUGUAUUCCUUUUAGGAUUUCUACCUUUAUUUAUUUAUCGGGCUUAUUACCAUUUCAAAAUAACGUCACUGAUUUUUAAUCGAUGCUUGCACCUUCAGUCCUAUCCUUUUUCAUUGCACUAUCAUUUAGUAUAAUGCAUUCUUUAUUACCUCACUUAUUUCCUAAAAAAUAUUUUGUUAUUUUUCUCAUUAUUUUAUCCAUCAAAACACGUUACUAGUUUCUAUGUCCUUAUGAAUUCUAAACCAAAAUUCAUUUUGUAGAGGUCAUCACUUUCAUUAUAUAUCAUUAUUUAUCUAUUAUUUCAAAUCUUGGUUUUUCAUCACUCAUUGAAAUAUUACCACUUUCAGCCUUACGUUUACAUGAGGGUUUACACAUCUAUAUAUUUAAAUUAUAAAUUUCCAGGGUUUUCACAGUGACCCUCACCGACGGCGUAAGAAGGCAGAGAAGAAGAGGAUGUUCCCGAUCCACCGGUUUGGCAGCCUUCAUCGGUAGUGGUGCGUGAACUCACGUGUCGCCAGUGACGGAGGCGCGUGAAGGAGACGCGCCGCCACUGUUCCUGCAGUUGCAGAAGGCUUUCCUUGCCAUUUUUGGAGUUUUAGGGGCUAUUUUGUAAAUUUUAAAUUGUUUAAUGUGAUUUUUGCUUAGUUUUGAUUUUUUAUAAUUUGUAGUGUGGAUGUAACCAAAAAAAAAAAAGGAAAAGAAAAAAAAGAAAAAUAUAGUGAAAGUGAAUGUGUUGUUUGUAUUUUGUUUAUGAAUAUUUUUUUAUGAUAAAAUUGCAAAGAAUAAAGAAGAAUUUAAUAUUUUAAUUUGCUCACAGUUAAGGAUUAUGAGCUACACGUAAGUCGUAUUUCUAAUAUAUGAUGAAAGAAUAAAAUUUUUAAAACUUCUUUAUCGCAUCAAAGUCACGAAGCAGCUUACCUCAGGUAGGGUGCAUUAGGGAUGCUAAUCCAGUCCCUUACCCGCGAAUCUCUGACAAGACCAGUACAUCCAGGUUUCCUAAUAGCCCUCAAUUAAAUACUAGGUGGCGACUCCUAACGAAUCAAGCAAACGAGGAAGAAAAAUCACCAUCCGACACCGCGCGGGUGAUGUGCGACAAAAUAGCGACUCCGCUGAGGACGGUACUGUUUCUGACAAUAUUGGACUAAGCUUUGUGUAUUUGAUGUGUUUAAGUUUUUGCAAUUUUAUCUCUUUUUUAAUGUUUUUGUUUCUAUGCAUUUUAUAGAAUUGUCUCACGCAUCACCUAUUUUAAUUUUUGAAAGCACACACAAGCUUCUAGGUUAGGUGGAGAACUAGCGAUUUGCCUUAUGACUAUUGGUCAGGGUUCAGAUGGGUGAAACACUCAACUUAUAUUUGAGUGUCUACUUGGUAAUGGUGGGUAUACGUGCCUUAACCAUUUCUCGCAAUGCCCCUAUAUUGUCUUUACGAAGAUCAUCACUGGGCAUAUAUCAGACCCUUUUGAAACCAAGUAGAAAACCUACCCAUGUUCACAUAAUGAAUAGAACUUGUCCUUAGGUUGUAUGUGCUAUCAUUAUUUGCAUAAGGGCAAACCCUUCUUGAAACAUCUUGAACUCAAGACUUGUGGGUGACACAAUGACCGUCACUCAAAAAAUUUUCAUUAUAGAGUUUGGGCAAGAAUCAAGAUUCUUAUUUCAUCAUGCAAGAGUUACGAUCAUAUGUCACCCCUCGAAGGGCGAAUUCAUCAUAUAGAUUACUUGUCAUACAUUUUUCAUGCAUGCACUGGGAUGAAAAGUAGGUCCCCUACGAGUCUACAACACUUGACUUUGAGUGAAAAACACAGAAGAUGAACAUUGUGCUCGUCGUAACAUCAAUUUUCAAGAAGAGUUGGAGUCUCUGAAGAAAAGCUUGACUCACCUCUAGCUUACUCGAGCAAAUACUGAAAAAUAACUCUGGGGAAGUUCCUUCCAACUGACAUAUCAUCUUUGUUCAAAAUCCAAUAGCGACUCAGCUUGAAGAAAUUUGGGGGAAACAUGGUCAAGAGCCUCAAUACAAUCCAGCAUUUCUGCAAAAGCUUUUGUAAGAAGGAUGACCAAAUGGGAAUUGCACCACCAUUGUAGAAUGGAAUAACUACCUCUAUUUGAUCAUGCCUGCAAAACUUCUUGAUUUUUUGUUUAAACGUGUUCUAGUUUUUGUUGGUAAUUUGGCUCAAAAUUUCCCUGUCAAAUGAGCCUUUCUUGUUAAUAAGAUCAUAUGUUUUCCUAUGUUCAUGACAUACCUUUAUUUUUGUUGUUCUUUUAUGCAAAUAACACAUUGAGCAUAACCUUUAAGUAUGAAACCAUUAUACCAAGAAUCUUUGGGUGUGUUUCCCUUUUCUUCCAAAGCUAUGCAUGAUCAUACAUGUUCACAAGGAUUUUUGGGAAUUCAAAGUUUAGUACAAAAAUAGAAAUCAUGUUGAUGUUUGUCCAAAACAAACAAGUUCUGGAAAUUCAGGUGAUUUUUUAGAGAGGUAAUCAUACACCUAGAAAACCUGAAAAAAAAAAACAAAAAACAAAAAAAAAACACCAUGAAUUGACUCUAAAAGCUGAAUUUUAUUUGAAUGAAUAAUGAGAAAUCAUGUUGCAUACUCACAUGAAAGCAAGGCUAACCAAUCUUAAGUGCAUGAGUUUGAAAUGAGGAAAGACCAUUUUUUAUAAUCAUUUCACAAGGCUAAAAUAUAUCAUUUGUAGUUCCCUUUUGAGCCUGGUAACAUUUUUGAAAAUAACCUUGGUUAGGAUCACACCUCACACUAGGGGCAAGUGCGAGAGACAUAAAAAAAAAAAAAACCUCAAUGAUUGAAAGUGCCCAAGAAAAACUGGGGGGCAUAAAAAAUAUUCUCAAUCAUAAAAAAUGUCCAAACAAAGUUGGGGGCAUGAAGAAAAAAACCAAAAGGUCCAAAAAAAUUGAGUUUCUCACAAAAAUAACCAAUAUGAUGAUGCUCAGAACCAAAUGAAGAAAACAAAAACAAAAAGAAAGGGCCCAAGCCCAACACUAGGGGCACAAUAGACAAUUUUGGAAAGACAUUCAAAUGACAAAAGGUCAAGAAACAAGCACAAGUGAUCCUUAGUUUUGAAAUCCCUCAAACACCUUUUGAGCCUACAAAGACCCUUUUCUUCAUAACCAAGAGCUCAAGCCUACAUUACGUGCCUAAUCAAGCCCUUUCUGAUCAAAGCAAGCAAUCAGGAUUGGUAAACAAUGCUUUCUCAUACGAAUCAAAUCAUUAUUCAUGCAAAUAAAAUGAAUGCUUUCAAGACUGGUUCUCUAUAACCCUCAAAAUAAAACCUUAAACCAUUUCCGACCAGCCAAAUGUCACUUCAUGUUUUUCACUAAAAGCAAAACAAAAAGUUUUCAUCACUCAUGAAAACCUCUCCAUAGGAAUCACUUGAAUUUCUUUAGAAUAAGUUCGCUUUGAAUCGAUAUCAAAAUGAUUUCUGUGUCUGGAAUAGCUUUGAAAAUUCCAAAAAUUCUUCAUGAAAACUACUCAUUGGCAAACCUUCCUUCACAUAGCCUCAUCUAAACUCGAAUUGAACACUUGGGGGCAUGAUCAAGCGGGGGGGGGGAAUAAAAAAAUGCAUGGUAGGGCUAGCUCCAUGAUUCCCUUCCUAAGAAAAAUAUCGGGCAAAAUUGGCAACACUUGAGAUAAAGGGUGGAGGACAAAGAAGUACAUUGAUAUCAAGUCCUUCCCAGAGGUUAAGAUCACAAGAUAUGACUUGAGUAAGCAAGAGCGAAAAAUCUAUCAAAGUUUACUACCACCACUCCAACUUUUAAGAAAAGAAAGACACCAUGAAGAAAUGAGGACCUAUAUUUCUCAAGUAAGUAUACAUGCAUAUCAAUCAUGAUGCAUUGCUUUCAUCAUUGACAGAUCGGUGUUACACCUCCUUUUAAGUGCGUCUUUGAGCCCUCACUUCUCAGGUAGUGCGUUUUUUAACCCUACCUCCUUUCAAGUGCGCCUUUGAGCCCUCACUUCUCAGGUAGUGCGUUUCAAACCCUACCUCCUUUCAAGUGUGCCUUUGAGCCACCAUUUCAGGUAGUGUGUUUUCUAACCCUGCCUCAUUUCGAGUGCGCCUUUGAGCCCUCACUUCUCAAGUAGUGUGUUUUCUAACCCUACCUCAUUUCGAGUGCGCCUUUGAGCCCUCAAUUCUUAGGUAGUGCGUUUUCUAACCCCACCUCAUUUCAAGUGCGCCUUUGAGCCCUUACUUCUCAGGUAGUGUGUUUUCUAACUUUACCUCCUUUCGAGUGUGCCUUUGGGCCACCACCAUUUGGGUAGUAUGUUUUCUAACCCUGCCUCAUUUUGAGUGUAACUUUGAGCCCUCACUUCCUUUUAUGUGCGCCUUUGAGCCACUAUUUCUUAGGUAAUGCAUUUUCUAACCCUACCUCAUUCCGAGUGCGCCCUUGAGCCUCCAUCUCUUAGGUAGUGAUUUUCUAACCCUACCUCCUUUCGAGUGCACCUUUAAGCCCUCGCCAUCCUUUUUCUGGGUAGGUCACCCAUUACAAUGAGGCCAUUCUUCCACUUGGGUAGGUCACCCAUUACAAUGAGACCAUUCUUUCUUUUUUCUUGGGUAGGUCACUCAUUACAAUGAGACCAAUAUUUUUAUGGGUAAGUCACCCAUUACAACGCGACCAAUUCUCCAUGUUUUUUAUCUGGGUAAGUCACCCAUUACAAUGAGACCAUUUUUCCACUUGGGUAGGUCACCCAUUACAAUGAGACCAUUAUUUCCUUUUUCUUUACCCAUUACAAUAAGACCAAUAUUUUUCUGGGUAGGUCACUCAUCAUAACGCGACCAAUUCUCCAUGUUUUUUAUCUAGGUAGGUCACCUAUUAUAAUAAGGUCAUUCUUCCACUUGGGUAGGUCACUCAUUACAAUGAGACCAUUUUUUUCUUUUUUCUUGGGUAGGUCACCCAUUACAAUAAGGUCACUCAUUACAAUGAGACCAAUCUUUUCUUUUUUCUUGGGUAGGUCACCCAUUACAAUAAGGUCAUUCUUCCACUUGGGUAGGUCACCCAUUACAUUGAGGCCACUCUUUUCUUUUUCCUUGGGUAGGUAACCCAUUACAAUGAGACCAAUAUUUUUCUAGGAAGGUCACCUAUUACAACAUGACCAAUUAUCUAUAUUUUUUUUUAUUUGGGUAGGUCACCCAUUACAAUGUGGUCAUUCUUCCACUUGGGUAGGUCACCCAUUACAAUAAGACCACUCUUUUAUUUUUCCUUAGGUAGGUUACUUAUUACAAUGAGACCAUUUUUUCUAGGAACAUCACCCGUUACAACACGACCAGUUCUCCAUAUUUUUUUAUCUGGGUAGGUCACCCAUUACAAUGAGGUCAUUCUUCCACCUGGGUAGGUCACCCAUUACAAUUAGACCACUCUUUCUUUUUUCCACUUGGGUAGGUCGCCCAUAAAAUAGAUCAGAGUAAGUGUGUGUGGGUGGUCGCCCCUGAAAAUAAACCAGUGUGAGUGUGUGUGGACAGGUCGCCCGAGAAAAUAGACCAGUGUAAGUGGGUGUGGGCAAGUCACCCUUGAAAAUAGACCAGUGUGAUUUUGUGUGGGCAAGUCGCCCGUGAAAAUAGAUCAGUGUGAGUGUGUGGGCUGGUCGCCCCUGAAAAUAGAUCACUUUUCUUCAAAAGGGGCAGGUCGCCCAAGAUAAUAAGAUUAUUUUCUUUUUCUUUUCUUUACAAAGCUUACUAUUGUCGCACCCCAAAAAAAUCAGCGUGCGGCAUCGGCUGGCGAUUUUUCGUCUCUUGUGAUUUGAUCUCUAGGAAAGACUUGAUAUCAUCAUACUUCUUUGUCCUCCGCCUCUUUAUCUCAAGGGUUGCCAAUUUUGCUUAACAUUUUCUUAGAAUGGGAAUCAUGGAGUCAGCCCUAUCAUAUGUUUCUUUAUUUCCCCCUAGCUUGAUCAUGCCUCCAAGUGUUCAAUUCAGGUUUGUGGACGAGGCUAUGUGAAUGUAGGUUUGACAAGGAGGUGUUUUCAUGCAGAAUUUUUGGAAUUCCAAAGCUAUUCCAGACACAAAAAUCAUUUUGACAUCGAUUCAAAGCAAACUCAUUCUAAAAAAAUUCAAGUGAUUCCUAUGGAAAGGUUAUCAAAAGUGAUGAAAACUUUUUGUUUUGGCUUUUGGUAAAAAAUAUGAAGUGACCUCUGGUUUGUCAGAAAAGGUUUAAAUUUCAAUUUGAGGGUUAUUGAGAAUCGAGGUUCAAAGCAUUUAUUUUAUUUGCAUGAAUAAUGAUUUGGUUCACAUGAGAAAGCAUUGCCUACCGAUCCAGAUUGCUUGCCUUUGAUCAGAAAGGGCUUGAUUAGGCACGUAAUGUAGGCUUGGGCUCUUUGUUUUUGUUUUCUUCAUAUGGUUUUGAGCAUCAUAAUUUUAUUUUUUAUUUUAUGCUCAAAACUCUUGAUCCUUUGGAUUUUUCUUCAUGUUCCUCUAGAUUUGUUCGGGCACCUUUGAUGAUUGAGAAUUUUCUUUUAUGCCCCCUAGUAUUGCUUGGGCACUUUCGAUCAUUGAAGUUUUCUCUAUGUCAUCGCACUUGCCCCCAGUGUGGGGUGUGAUCCUAGCCAAGGUUAUUUAUCUCAAGAAAAGCAUAAGGCUCAAAAGGGACUGCAAAUGAUAUAUUUUAGCCUCGUGAAAAGAUUAUCAAAGAUGACCUUUCUUCAUUUCAAACUCAUGCAUUUAGGAUCAGUAAGCUUUGCUUUCAUGUGAGUAUACAAUGUGAUUUCUCAUUAUUCAUUCAAAUAAAACUCAGCUUUUGGAGUCACUUCAUGGGUUCUUUUUGUUUUUUUUUUUGGGGUUUUUCUAGGUGUAUGGUUACCUUUCUAAGGAACACUUGAAUUUCUAGAACUCGUUUGUUUUGGACAAACAUCAACAUGAUUUCUGUUUUUGUACUAAACUUUGAAUUCCCAAAAAUCCUAUGAAGGUAUAUUAUGAACACAGGAAAACACAUGAUCUUAUUAACAAGAAAAGGCUCAUUUGACAGGUAAGGUUUUUUUUUUUUUUUUAAUGAAAUUUAGAGCCAAAUUAUCAACAAAACUGGAACAGGUUGAAACAAAAAUCAAGAAGUUUUCUAGGCAUGAUCAAACUAAGGUUUUUUUUUUUUUUUUUUUUUGCAGCAAAAGAAAUGGGCUCCAUUAUGCACUAGUGGUGCAAUUCCCUUUUGUCAGCCUUCCCACUAAAGCUUUUUGCAGAAAAUACAUGAUUGCGCUAAGUUUCUUGACAAAUUUUGCCCCCAAUUUCUUCGGGCUGAGUAAUUGUUGGGUUUUGAACAAAGAUGAUAGGUCGGUUGGAAGGAACUUUCUUGGAGUUAUUUUUCAGUAUCUACUCGAGUAAGCUAGAAGCAAGCCGCACAUGUCUUCAAAAAUUACAACGAGCAUACUCUUCAUCUUCCGAGUUUUUCUUCAUUCAAAGUCGGGUGUUGUAGACUCGUAGGGGACCUACCUUUCAUUCUGGUGCAUGUAUGACAAAUGUAUGAACAUGUAAUCUAUAUGAUGAACUCGCCCUUCGAGGGGUGACAAUAUGGUCGUAACUCUUGUAUGAUGGACAAGAAUCGUGAUUUUUGCUCAAACUCUACAAUGAAAAUUUUCGGAGUGACGGCCAAUGUGUCACCCACAAGUCUUGAGUUCAAGAUGCUUCAAGAAGGGUUUGCCCUUAUACAAAUAACGAUAGCACAUACAACUUAAGGACAUGUUCUAUUUAUUAUGUGAACAUGGGUAAGUUUUCUAUCUGGUCUCAAAAGGGUCUCAUAUCUGCCCAGUGACGUUCUUCGUAAAACAGUAUGGGGGCGUUGCAAGGAAUGGUUAAGGCACGUAUACCCACCAUUACCAAGCAGGCACUCAGAUAUGAGUUGGGUGUUUCACGCAUCUGAACCCUGACCAAUAGUCUUAGGGCAGAUCGCUAGUUCCCCACCUAACCUAGAAGCUUGUGUGUGCUUUCAAAAAUAAAUACAGGUGAUGCAUGAACAAUUCUAUAAAAUGCAUGGAAAAAAAUAUUAACAAAAAGAUAAAAAUGCAAAAAACUUAAACACAUCAAAUACACAAAGCUUAGUCCAAUAAUGUCAGAAACAGUACCUUCCCAGUGAGUCGCCAUUCUGUCGCACCCCAAAAAAAAUCAGCGGUCGGCUGGCGAUUUUUCGUCUCGUGUUGUUUGAUUUGGUUCGUUGGAGUCGCCACUAGUAAUUUAUUGAAGGGCUACUAGGAAACCGGAUGUACUGGUCUUGUCAGAGAUUCGCGGGUAAGGGACUGGUUGUGGUUAGGGAAGGUAUUAGCACCCUAACGCACCCUAAGCUGCUUCACGAAAUGAUGUGUUAAAGAAGUUUUAAUAAUUGUCUUUUCAUCGAAAAUUAGAAAUAUCACUUACGUAUAAGUUAAUAGUUCUUAACCGUGAUCCGAUCAAAAUAUUAAAUUCUUCUUUAAUAUAUUUGCAAUUUUAUCAUUAAAAAAUAUAUACAAAUAAAUAAAACAAAAUAAAAACACACAUUCACUUUCACUAUAUUUGUUUCUUUUUUUUUUCUUUUUUUUUCUUUACACUAUUAACAUCUUACAAAUCACAAAAAUUCAAAAUAAAUCAAAAUAGUACAUUAAACAAUUCAAAAAUAUUAAACAAUUCAAAAAAAUUACAAAAUAAACCCCCAAAAACUACAGGAUCGGUGGAAGGCCUUCCGGAAUCUGCUGAAAUCAUUGCGGCGCGUUGCACCACGCGCCGCUUGUUGGAAAGUCCGGCAAGCAGGGGGCUCUAGAACAGUUUCCCCUUCUCUUCUCUUCCCAGCCUGUGAUGGCUUUCACCGUGACCUGCAACGAAAAAAACAAACCACAGGCAGUCGGUUUUAACCCAUUUUAGUUUAGAUCUGCAUUCUCUCCCAUCUCAUUUUCCGAUCUGCUCAUCUGUGCAUAUUAUUUUGGUUUCCUCUUCUUCUGUUCCAGAUGGUCGGAGGUUGUAGGGGGAGCUGUGGGUGGUCGGUUGAAAGAGGAGCCCGGUGGCAGUGCUGAGGAGAUCGGGUUUGUGACCGGCUGCUGUGGUCUUCAGCUGUGGGGAGAUCGGUGGCGGGUUCGGUGUGCUGGAGGAGCUCAGCCGCCGCUGUGAUGGGCCCUGUUCGUUGACCGGCUGCUGCUUUUCCGUGGCUUGUCCGGGUGUCCGGUGAGCAGGGAAGAAGGGAGGCGGCCAGAGAAGGUGAUGGGUUUGUGGGGGGUAUGGUCUGUGGGUUGAAGGGAAGAGAAAGCUUUUUGGGUGAUGAGGGUGGGGCUUUGGUAGAUGACAGUGAAAAGGCUGGGUUGUGUGAUCGGGAGAGGAGGAAAUGUUGUGGGAUGAGCGGCGGUUUUCCGAAGAGAAAAAAAAAAUCCAAAACCGUGAGGGGCGGCUCCUUUUGUUAGAGAUGACUUUAGGGUUAGGGAUUUUUGUUUUUUUUUUUUUUGAUAUUUCAAAAAUUGCCCCUCCCUCUUUGAAUGUGAGUUGAAGACCAGUAUUUUAUAGGCAAAAAAUGUUGCCAAGUUUUUCAACUUGGUCCCUCAACUUCUUUCUUUUUUGUAAAUUUUGAUUUUUCUUAUUUUUUUAUAUUUUUCGAAAACGAGCAAUAUCAACGUCGACUCAACGAGGAAAAUCAAUGAUUUUAAAAAUGAUGCGUGAAAAGUCGAACGCGUUUGAAAAAUUAAAUUCUUUUCUAGACGACGUUGAAAAUGCUAAAAUAACGAAAAUAUAUUAAAAAACAUAUUUUUUGGAUUUUCUUUGUUUUUCUCUAUUUUUGGAAUUUUUUGAAAAUAUAUCAAAAACAUGGGUCAAAAAUUGGGUAGCAACAACUAUGCAAAACAUUGAGGAGUUUUGCUUCAUAAGAAAUGUAAAGAGGGAGCAUCUGUUGUUACUCAAUUUUGACCCACUUUUUUGCUAAAAAAUUUUUAAAACAACAAAAAUCCAAAAAAUAUGUUUUUAAUAUAUUUGCAUCGUUUUUAGCAUUUUCAACGUCGUCUAAAAAAAGAAUUUAAAUUUUCAAAGGUCUUUCGAAUGCGUUCGACUUUUCACGCCUCAUUUUUAAAAAUCAUUGAUUUUCCUCAUUAAGUCGACGUUGAUAUCGCUCGUUUUCAAAAAAUACAAAAAAAUUAAGAAAAUCAAAUUUAUAAAAAAAGAAAAAAAGUUGAUAGACCAAUUUUGAGGCCCAAGUAACAUUUUAUCUAUAAGUAGGAGUUUCCACAACUCACACAAAGGAGGGGGGCAAUCUUGUACCAAAAUUAGAAGAGGCAACACAAAAAAAAACUAAACAACCUAACCCUACCAGCUCCCACUCUAAGGGAGCAGCUGUUCUCCCUCUUGAAUUAAAAAGGAGUUGUAUCCCCCCAACAACUAAUUGGAUUUAUUUUUUAGAAAACAAAAUCGUCGUCCCCUGGGGUCCUUAGUGGUUGCUCUCCCAGAACAGAGCCAAGGACCCCCGACCAUUUUAGCUCUCUGUUUUCUCCCUUGCACCCGAAGCAGCCCCAUUCCCAGAAAUCUUCCCUUCUUAGUCGUUCCCUCACCCUAGACAACCCCAACAACGGCCACCAACCCUUUCUCUUUCUCUGCACCAAGAUCAUCCCCAUCACCCCUCACCAGGCUCGCCUCAAUUUUCCCCUCUUAACCAUUCUUCCCUCAGCUAACAGACCACACCCACAUAACCCCCUAAACCAGCACCCCACUUCCCAUCACCUCUCCUCUUCCCUCGAUCUUCUCCUUCAACUCCUCACCCAACUCAUGGACUAGCCAAGAGCACCCCCUCACUCUCCUCUCAACCGGUCUUUGCCGUCAGCAGCAACAUCCCCUCACUAGAUCGGUUCGCCGCUCCUUCAUCCUCUGCAAGUGAACGCAGAAGGAAGAUAAAGGGAAGUAGCAAGUGAGAAUCCAUCAGCGCUGCAAGCAUCUUCGGUCUCCAGAAGCAGGUACGCCUGUUUCUUCAUUUGUGCAUUCUUUAAAUUUGUAAGAACACUGCGCGAAGGUAAUUUAAUUACCUUCGUGCAGCGCCACUCCAGCGUGAACAAGUUCACGCAUGCUUCGGCCCCAGCCGGGUCAUUGGCUUGUUAAAAGUUGAAAAUGAAGAAAAUUAAAUUUAAAAAUAAGAUACAACAAAAGAAUAUGAGUUUAUCCGAGUUAACCCAUAAAACAUGUGACCCGAGCAUAAGAUCGAGACAACCUCAUAGAAAACAAAUCAAAAUAAUUCAUGAGGUCUAAUUCAUAAUCAACCAAAUGUUAAAGGAUAAAAUAGAAAAAAUUCCAAUGAAAAAGUCAAUAAAAACUCGAGUUAACUAGGUCAACCCCUCAAACCCACGACUUAUGUAAUGAUAAUCUUAUAUAAAGCAAACCAAAAUAAAUCAUGAAACAUAAUUCCCAACCAACCUAAUGUUGAAUGAUGAAAUUGAAAAAACAAAUUUUCAAUUAAAAAGUAUAAAUAAAACUGGAGUCAACCCGCCAAGGUUGCACGUAUUAGAAAUAUUAUUUGAAAAUAAAUUUCUUUUUAUUUCAAAAUUAAAGUUCAUGUAUAUAAAAGAUUAAAAAAAUAUAGAUGAAUCAGAAAUAACUCCUAAAAAAUUAAAUGCAUAAUUAAAAUAUAAUUGUUAUUUCAAAUAAGCUUUCUAAAAAGCAUAAAAGAGAGAAAGAAUAUUAAUCUAAAUAAAAUUAAAAUUAAAAAUAAGAUUAAUUUAAAAAAUAGAAACGAAAAACAAAAUAAAAUAUUUUUUCCUUAACAAAAAAAAAAGUAAACAAUGUUGUCCAUAGUAAAACUUGAGGGGUGAACCCGGACCAUGAGCUCAACCAAGUUUAAUAUUUUUUUCCCCUUUAAAUUUAUAGCAAACAUUAAAAAAGUAAACAAUGUUGUCCACAAUAAAACAUAAAAGGGUGAACAAUAUGGCUGCAUGAUAUUCACCUCACAUAUUUUCCUUUUAAAUUUAUAGCAAAACCUUAAAAAAACAAAACAAAACAAAAAAACUAAUGUCGUCCACAAUAAAACGUGAGGGGGUGAGCAGUGUAUCUGCACAGUGUUUACCCCAUACGCUUUAGUUUAUUUAUGGUAAAUCGAGACCAUGAAUUCAAUUGAGUUUAAUAUUUUCCCUCUUAAAUUUAUAGCAAAACCUUAAAAAAACAAAACAAAAAAACUAAUGUCGUCCACAAUAAAACGUGAGGGGGUGAGCGGUGUAUCUGCACAGUGUUUAUCCCAUACGCUUUAGUUUAUUUAUGGUAAAUCGAGACCAUGAAUUCAACUGAGUUUAAUAUUUUCCCUUUUAAAUUUAUAGCAAACCUAAAAAUAAAUGAACAAUGUCAUCUACUGUAAAAUAUAAGGAAUGGUUUAGUUUAUAAAAAAAGCCAAUGACCCGGAUGGGCAAAAAUCAAAGAAAGCAGGCGUGAAGUGAUUUCACGCGUGCAUGAGCAGACUAGAGAAAAUAAGUUUUAGAAUGUGUGAAUUAAAAAUUCAAAGCAAACAGUAGCCGAUGAAUUAAAAUGAAAAGCGGGGAAAGAGAAGUUUGCUUACUUGGUCUGCAGCUCCUGAAGAUGAAGACGAAGUCGGUUCUCUCGGGUGGUUCUUCUUUUUCUGGUCACUGUUCGUCCUCCAUUUUUCUGUGGUUCUUGGUCUGUUCCUCCAUUUUUUUAGUUCUUCCUCUGUUUCUGUUUCGGUUUGUUCCCCUGCUCGUCGUCUUCCCUCAGUUUUUUCGUUCCCAGUCUCCUGCGUCUUCUGCCUCCUUCUUUCUCCCCAGUUUUUUUAGUUUCUUUUCUCUGGUUCUGUGAUCCCCUGUCUCUGGUUUUUUCGCUGUUUUCCCCCCGUUGUUCGUGGCUUUCUUCUUUAGCCUCCUCUGUUUCUUUGAGAAGAAACAGAGGAACGAACGUCUUUUAUUUCUAGUCUCCCCGGUUCUGUGAUUACCCCAUGUUCGUGUUCCAGUGUCUUCGUUCUCCUGUUUCUGGGUUUCUUGGUCUGCUGCCUCUAGGUAUUUGUUUCCCCCCCUCUCUGUGCUGUGUUUUCUUCCACCCCCCUUCUCGCUCUCUCAUCUUCUCUGGCUUUAUAGCCAAGGAAUGCCAAGCAUCUCUACGGCUUCAAAGCCAUUACUGAAGAAACCGUUCCUGUGGAAGGAGACGAAGAAGGCGAUGGUUGGUUUCUAGAAACGGCGUCGUUUGUGUGAUGGGAAUGGCCAUUUGCAAUCUAGUCACUGAAGGUCUGAAAUCAUGCAAUCAAGCCCCUGGAUAAAAUGUAGUUGGAUCCUUGUAUUUCCGCGCCAUUUUCAAGCUGGUCCUUGUGGUUUACGUUUUGCAAUUUGGACCCCAAUUAAAAUCUAAACUUUGAUAUUCUUCAAUUAAAUCCCUGAUUUCAUUAAUUUAAUUAAAUCCAAAGUCCAAUUAAGUCGAAAACUUAAUCAAUUCUCCAAUUAAGCCCCUUAUUGGAUUAAUUAAAUUGAUUCCAAGCUCAAUCAAGUCUCAAACCUUUAUCAAUUCUCCAAGGAAACCCUUGAUUGGAUGAAUUAAAUUAAUUCCAAGCUUAAUUAAGUCUCAAAACUUUAUCAAUUCUUCAAUUAAACCCUUAAUUGGAUUAAUUAAAUUAAUUCCAAGCUUAAUCAAGUCUCAAAACUUUAUCAAUUCUUCAAUUAAACCCUUAAUUGGAUUAAUUAAAUUAAUUCCAAGCUCAAUUAAAUUAAUUUCAAAGUUUAAUUAAACCCCAAAACUUCCAAUCAUGUUGCCCUUGACCCAAAUUUUAAUUCAUUCUUCAUCUAUUUCAUUUUUACUUGUUUUUUUUUUAUAAUAAUAAUUAUUUUUUUAUUUUUUUUCAUUAAAUAAAAUAAUAAUAAUAAUUAAAAUAAAAUGAUCAAAAAUUAAGUUAUGACACUCGUGUCCGUGGAUGCUGAAUAUCAUCAAUGAGAGCACAAGCUGAUUUAACAGUAAAAAUCUCAUUCUUCUCUCACUGCCACACCCUUCUCUCAGCUGAAUAAAAAAUAGAUAAAUUCCACUCUGCUUCAGGUUUUGAUGACUCCAAACGCUGACACUCCCUAUUCUCAGCUUCAUGUAUGACCCCACAUUUAGCAAUACAUGUCAAUGAACGCGUUUGCUAUGAUCACACUGAUUCGUUGUGUUUUGUAACGAUGGUGUAGUUUCAAUGGAUUCCCUGACCAAAUUCCAAGCAAUCCAAUUGACCACAAGUAGAGAGCACACGAACUAAUGUUCUCCAAUGGAACAAACGCAGCCUCCAGCAUGUUACAAACCAUUCUAAAGCUUCCUUUGGGUGGUUGCCCAGCAAUGAUGGCACUCCAGGAAACCACAUUCCUCUCCGGCAUCUCAUUAAACGACAUCCUUGCCAGCUCUAGCUCACCGCUUUUAGCAUACCCAUUAACCAUGCUCGUCCAAGAGAACACAUCUCUAACUCCCAUGGUAUCAUAGAUCCCUCUUGCAGGAUCCAAGAAGCCACAUUUCACAUUCAUGGUGAUUUGCAUUUCUAGUUUUACAUAUUCGUGAAAACUCUUCCCUUCUGCGAGCAAGCUGAACCAGCGGCUAUCAUAGUGACCUCUUCUGGCUCCACAUUGCCCUCCACUGACAUCGAGUCAAAAAGCUUCCAGGUCUCAUCCCAACAGUUACGCUUAGAACACCCAUCAGUCAUAGACAGAAUUAAAGUCCAUCUCUAACAGGAAUUCCAUCAAACAAGUGUCAAGCAAAACCCAAACAACCACGCAGGUCAUAAAAACGAGCCAACCCAUCUUGAAACAACAUAGCAGAAACAAAACCCAUCUUUCGAAUACCACAAUGAACUGAUUUCCCUCCUAAAACUCUCAAAACCUGCUCGCCGCACGCUUUGAGCGCAGGAACAAAGCUCCUCCAGUCCAUUUCAGCGCCAUUCUGAAGCAUUUGGCAGAAAACAGGAAGCCACUACCGCCCAUUUUGGCUUCAGAGUAGCCUCUAAUCAUGGUAUUCCAAAUAUAAGGCCAUUUUGGUUUUGUAUCUGCGAAAACAGAAGACGAGCAUGAUUUAUAGCUGCAGUGUGAGAGAGGGCAAAAGGCCAAGGCAAGACAAAGCUUGGGGGUAGAUUAGCCAGACUAUAAAGGAGAAGGACUUGUUUGUACUUGUUCCAAGAUUGUGAGUCAAAAUAAUACCGCUUCUUUUCCUUCAAACGCAAUCUCGUCCUACGUUCCAGGGAAUCUUUUUACCUAAUCUUUUAAUAUAUAUUUGAAUGGCAUCUUGGCUUAAGCUCCUUCAAUUAUUGCUUUCGAAUAUUCUCAUGGUAUUGCUCUUUGUUUUUGAGGAUCCAAUUAAUAAGCAAAUCAUGGAGACUUGGCUGUUGACCUCAACACUCUCGUCUGCUUUGACUCCUUCAAUAUCAUGGAUGUGAACCAGGCUUGGAAUAUUGGGUGUUCUUGUUUUUGAUACAUGUAAAGAGGUAAGCUAAGCAUCUCUUUCAAGAUCUCUCUAGCUGCUGCAGCGAUUCCAAAUCGCUUUCUUUCUUCAAGUUCCUUAGAAGAAGUAUUGUAUAGCAACCAACUUUCUUUGCGUUUUGCUCCAGGUCUGGGCCAAUUUUGAUGCCUUUUGUGAAUCCCUCCAUCUGGGCUUAUCAAAAGAGGAGGAGGAAAGAAGUAAGUUUCUCUUCUCAGUUUCAGUGCUUCUUUAUUGAAUUACUCUCACUAUUCCCAUUACGUUCUGUGAAUUUUAAAGGACUAGACAUGUUUCAAUUCAGUACCGAGCUAGUUUCUUGAUGGUUGCUUGCUCCAAACUUCUUUACAAAACCAAUCAAACUUCACAUAAACUAGGAAGGAAAGGGGGAAGUUGGAAUCUUGAGUUCACAGGCUAAUGGUGGAGUCCAUGUUACAAUUGCUUUGCUUAAACAAAUCCGUUCCGGUUAGCGUUCUGUUUUUUCAAUUGAAAUAAAAUGAACAUAAUUUCAACUCACAUCUAUAUAUAACCACAAUUUUAAAAGUUGGGCUUUAGUCGGUAUGACCUAAUUAAUUGGAUGAAUUCAAUGACAACAUCAGCGACUAAUAAAACUAGACUAAAAAUAUUAUGGAAUUCAAUCCUCAGUAAGUUAAACUUAUUGUUAAAUAAAUAAAAUUUAAAAAAUCAAAUUCAAAAAAAAAAAAAAGACAAAGAAUGACCUUUAAAAACAAAAUUAUGAAAAUACAAUCUUCAAUUUUGCAAGAUCUUUCUAAACUUUUAACUUGAUAUAUUACAAUAUAUUAGGAGAUUCCUCCUAAAAUUUCAGCCUCAUCUAAUAGUCAAAUUAAAAAAUAUAAUUGAUAUUAUAAAAAUAGACAAUAUUUAAAAAAAAUGAAAAAAAAAAUUAUUGCCCCUCUUUUAGUUUUACACGGUCCCUCCAACCUAUUAUUAUUAUUAUUAUUAUUAUUGCCCCUCUUUUAGUUUUAAGAUAUCCCAUGUUAUUUUAUCAGUCGAAAGUUUUAUAAAUACCAGAGUUUCCAGAAAUCCCCAAAAUAUCAUCAAAGUUUUAGGAACAUAAUUUUAUAGAUGAUAUGUUAUUACGAUAGGAUUAUAUCUCAAUAUUGACACCAUAGGAUUUGAAUCCAUCGAUCUUAAUUUGUUUCAUAGCAUCACCAAUGAGUUAGUUCCCAUGAUUUCAAAAACUAUAUAUAUGGAUUCUCUAUGGUUUUAAAUCAAUGGAAAUCUUCAUUUUCAGACACUUGAAAAGCGCACAAAAUAGAAAAAAAUAAAAAUAAAAAACCUACAAAGUUGAAAAACCUGGAAAUGUAAAAAACUUGAGAAUUACAUGCACGUAAUACAUAUUCAAGAAACUAAGAACAGCAACAUAUUUAUUUAAUUCGACGGACGCAGAUAACAUUGAUUAUGAUCACUACAAACACUCAAACAUAAACACGUACAUAAAUUCAUUCUUCUAUAUAUAUCUGGAUAUGCAUGGCGGAGCAGCCACGCUCCAUGCAAAUAAUAGCUAGUUAGGUCUUGUCACAUCACCCCAAUCCUCCUUACCAAACAGCUUGAUACUCCUCUUAGCUUCAAUCCUGAACUGUGACCCCAGGUUCUGGUCAUCCUCACGAUGAAGAACAACCAUGUCACCAACUCUCAGUUCAUAAUAUUUAACAAAUUGACGCCAGCCCUUAGAAAGCACUGGCUUGUCAUAGUCUCCAUCUCUCUUCAGGCAACGAAUAACUCGAAGCUCACCACAGCUAUCUUUAACAUGCAAAUCAACAGAAUUAUUUCCAGCAAAAUCUAAAUGCUGCAAGCAAUGAGCUGGGAACGAGAACCGAAAACGAACAUCAGUAUCUGUCAACACUUUGCUGAAGAUCUGCAUUUUUUUUCUCAAGGGUCGUAAAAAGAGAGAGAAAUGGUUAUGUUUAAGCUAUCUGCAGCUGGAUUGAUAUGGUUUCUUGCAGGUAGUUGUUGAUUUAUAGUAAAUCACGGUAGAAAGACAUCGAGCGAGAGAUUUCGGAAAUCUUGUUCAUUUGAUCGAUUUCGCAUGGCGUUAGUUAAAUCUUGGUGGAUUAUUUGUAGAUAGAACAAGAGAAACGCAGGCUUAUCAAAGACUAAAUGAGCCAGGAGGUACGCUCGUAUUGCCUCUCGUGCACCUCGUUCGUUCUAACUUGCGAAAACCAAACACUUGCUCAAGAUCUUGCAUGCUUGUCGAAGUGUUUAGUGAACUAGAGCAUCUUGUGCAACUUGGACAAUGGCCAAGGACCCAUUUAAUAAAAAACUACAAGAAUAAAUAAGGUUUAUUUUUCAAUUAUAUUUUAUGAAAUGAAAAUUGUCCUCUUAUUAGACAUGCAUGAAUAAUAAUAAAAUAUAUUUCUUAAAAAUUAAAUUUUAAAAGGUUUCAUUUAUAAUUUUAUCUAGGUUACCUAUUCAUUUUAAGUCUGGGUCAUGAACUUAAGUUUGCGUCAUGAACUUGGGAUGAUGUCAUCUCUUAAGAGAUGAGGCUUUCACUCUUUCAAUUAUCUAGCAUUAACAAAAAAAUAAAAUUAAUUACAUGUUUAUGGAGUUAUUAAUCAUGCUCAAUAAUUUUUACAGUGUGCAACUUAAAUAUGAAAAUGGAGAUUCAUAUAAUACAUUGUUAUCAGUUAAUUGUAUUUUGCCAUUACUAUUGGCUCUUGUGAUUUUAGAUAAAGCUGGUUCUUGAUCUUGCAGGCGUGUGCUCUAAGUCCGCCCAAAGUUUCAUCAAUAAGGUCCACAGAGAGGGAGAGCUACAUCCUGCAUUUUCUUGAGAUUUCUGCGAGGUUUUUGUUCGAAUAAGCAACAAGGUGCACGAUAUUGCUGGAGGGCAAGUCCUUCCAUGCCUGUCCAAAAUUCGAAGUCAUUUUCAAUUCAAGGUCAACAAUAUAUUUUUUAUAAUAUAAUAAUGCUAGAAUGACGCUCGAUCUCCUCAGCAUGCAUCGAGUAAUCGCGUUUGGAUUUCGAGCUCCACUGAUUUGAAAUGCUCGGUGUCUGUGUUGUAUAAAUGUAGCCCAAAGAAUAAAUUAAGAGGGUUUGGAGAAAUUUGCCACUCGGGAUCAUGUCUGUACUAUCGACCGAGACGGUCAGCACUGUGGGCGUGCAUUGACGUUUCUUCUCGGAGGAGGCUAUGUGAUUUCUUUUUGACAGCACUGUACUUAAGCAUUGCCCUUUACAAUUACAAUUUUAUGUGCUGCAGCAAAUCGCUUUCUUUCUUCUAGUUCUUCCUUAGCAGGAGUUUUGUAUAGCAACCAACUUUCUUCUUCGCGCUUUUCAAAGCCGCAAUAAUAGACUUAAAUGCGCGGAUCACCAAAAGUUAAUUUUAUUUAUAGUGAAAGUGGAUGGUUCUUCGCCUCUCUCUCUCUCUCUUUUUUCUUUUUUUGAAGUACUAUUUUAAUUUUGUUUACCAACAAAAGUUAAUUGCCGGUUGAUUAAAACAAUAUAGUGAUAUGCACCCCGGGAAGCGAGCAAGCUGAACAAGCUGCAAGCAGCGACCUCAUUUUUUCAUGUUACUAGAAAUCUAGAGUGUUUUUAAGAAUUUAUUAUUUAAAGAUAUGAAUUUUUUAUUUUUUUGAAAAAUUCUUUAAAAAUUGGGUUGUCGCAAACCACAAGUCAUUCAACUGUCCACGACAGUCCACACGAACUACCGAUAAAAAAUCUCUUAAAUUUCUAUUUCGGAGAGUGGAAUUUCUAUGCCUAGAGUACUAGCCUUUUAUUCUGUGACUUGCAUAGUUUUUUUAUCCAACAUACAACAACAAAAUUAAGAAGCAUAGCUUACUAUUUAUAGAAAAAUCUAAAAAACCCUAUAAAUUGGAAGACAUUUCAAUUUGCCCCUUGCUUAAUCGAGUCUUUCCUUGAUUUUUCUAGGUCUAGAAAUAUAAUAUUUGUAUUCUAGUCCUUAAUUUCUAAAAUAUAUUUUAAUCAAGUCAUACCUAAUUAAAUUAUCCCAAUUUAAUUUCUGACUAGUGGUUUUUAAUGUGUAUGACUCAUUAGGUUCCUAAUAUAUUGGCCCAAAUACAAAUUAUAAUUCUAAUUAAAUAUAAUUAAAUAAAUCAAACAAUUUAAUUUAUUAUCAAUUCAACAAUUGAUUAAUUUAUAUUUAAAGAUCAGGUGCAUCGUCUAAUAACGUGUCAUGAUCCCCUAAAUAUUAGAGAAGUCAUUGGUGGUUUGACUUAACAUUUGAGUGACUAGUUUCUUAGUGUAAUUAAUAUCAUUUCAUCAAUAAUGUUCCGAUUAAUUAGUUGCGGGUGAAGCUGAGAAGAGAAAAAAGAAAAAUCUUACCUUAAUAUAGUUGCGAGUGAAGCUAAGAAGAGAAAAAAAAUAAAUUCAUAAAGUAUAUUAAUUUAAAAAAAUCUGAGAAGAGAAAAGAAAAGAAAAAGAGAGAGAAAAAGACAUACUUGAGAAUGGAGAAGAAGAGGAGUUGAAGAGAAAAGAUAAGAGAAAGAAAGAAGAGGAUGUUGUUGUUUUUUACAUAAGGGGAAGAAGAAGAAGAAGCAGAAUAUGCUCGUCUGUUGUGAAAUGAGGGAUUCUAUUUAUUAGGGUAUUUUACUAUUGGUUUUACCGACGGAUAUUAAUAUUUCUAACUUUCAUUGGUGAUUUCGUCUAUAAUAUUUAAUUUAAAUUUUCAAUUUAAUUUAAAAAAUUCAGAAACCACCAAAUAUCACCAACGACUUUUCAAUCCGUUGGUGAUUCUAUUUGUAUUAUUUAAAUUAAAUUUUAAAUUUACUCAAAAAUUUUCAAAAACCUGCAAAAUAACACCAAUGACUUUUCAAUUCGUCUAUGAUUUUGUCUAUAAAGAGCAAUAAUUAACUGUGCAAUUGGAAAGUGAACAGUUCCAUUGCUCUUUGAAAAAUACCGACGAAAUGUUCUGUCGGUGAUUCCCUUUGUAAUUGACAUGAUAAACAAUGUUAGGCAAAAGUGAACACUUUACUGAUGAUUUUACCAAAGGAUUUUACCGACGGAAUUAAUUACGUCGGUAAUUCUUUUGGUAUAAAUGACAUAUCAUCGGUUUUUUUUUGCUUUGUUUUAAUUCUUUUUUUCCCACCGUAAUUCCCUUGGUAGAUACUGAGAGAAUAUUUUUGUCGGUAAAAUUCACUAUAAUUUUUUGACUGAAAUAUUUUGUCAGUAUUUCUGUUUGUCUUUAUCAAUUUUCUGGAAGUGCUCCACCAUAAUUAAUGUGUAAAACAACAUUGUAUAUAUCACUUGCUGAAAAUCUAGCAAGUGAUAUUUUUGAUCAUUUUAUGGACCUAAAAAUCCAUACUCAUUUGAGUCAAGAGAUAUGAGAGUCGCUACCUAGUUAUUUGGUUUAGAGUCACUAGGAAAUCCGGGUAUACUGGUCCUAUCAAAAAUUCUAAGGGUAAGGAAUUGGUUGUGGCUAGGAAAGGUAUUAACACCCCUAGCAAAAAGAGGAGGGUAAAAGGGUAUUUUAAAUUAAAAUAAACCAUGUGGUCAUAACACAAAAGGGGAGGGGUAAAGGGGUAAAAUACCCUAAAACCAUCUCUAUCUCCCACUUUUCUUCUAAGUGUCGCCGAUAAGGCACCUUGCCCUUGCUACCAGUGUGCUUUCCAAUGACAGCCAAGGCUAUCAUUGCACCAAGCAACAGAAACCAAGGUCAUUGUUGCCUACAUCCACACGAGGCCCAACACUGCGAGUAACAUCUAGCACGCCUGGUGCUGCCACCCAUGACAACGUGAGACAUUGCUACACAUACUUGUUUUGUAAAAAAAUCUGAUUUUAAAAAAUCAUGAGAAAAUUUGACUUUUUAGAAGAAAAAAAUCUUUAUUUCGCACAUAAAAUUAAUUUCUAAUUAACACUAAUAAAAAUAAAAACGUGCAAUCAAACAAUCCUAAUUCACCUAACGAAGGCGCUAAUCCCACUAUUGGGUUUCCAUAAUGGCAUACACACAGUAGAAAGAAUAAAAAAAAUAUUCGAAGUCCAUAGGAUCUCGUUAGACAAAUCUAGAGUUGUUUAGGGAUUUAUUACCUGAAGAUCUGAACUUCUUCGGCUUUGAAUAAUUCUUUAAAGGUUGAGUUGUCGCAAACCACAAGUCAUCCAAUUGUUCAGCUUCCAACGGUAAUCUACACGAACCACUAGUGAAAAAUAUUCUAAAUCUCUAUUUAAGAGAGAGGAAUUUCUAUGCCUAGAGUACUAGCUAUUUAUUCUAUGACUAGUAUAGUUUUUUUUUUUUUUUGUCUAAGACAGAUAAUAACAAAAUUAAGAGGCAUAGCUUACUAUUUAUAGAAAAUUCCAAAAAUCCCUAUAAAUUGGAAAACAUUUCAAUUUGUCCCUUGAAUAAUAUCCACAUAUUAUUGUUCUCUCUAUGGACCUGUCUCUUUUAUGUAUUGGGGGAAUGUUCAUUUUUGUUGCCUAUCUGAACUUUUUUAAAAAUUUUAUUUUUUAUUUUAAAUUAAUUUUUUAUGUUUUAAAAAAAAACUUUAUGUGUGAAUAUUAAAAUUAGAUUUUUAAAAAAAUAAAAUAAAAAUUAUUUUAAUAUAUUUUCAAAUAAAAAACACUUUAAAAAAUAAUUUUUACCAUAAUAUCAAACACAACCUAAAUUUUAAAAGAAAAAUAAAAGGAUUUAUAUAAGGAAUGUGUAAUAGCAAGAUUUCAAACACUAAUCAACAAUAAACUCAACCAUAUAUAUUUACAAUACAAAAAUGUAAAACUACUCACAAAUUACUAUUAUUAGCUACAUUAUCUGCUUUCACAAAUUAUUAUUAUUAAAACAGGCAUGUCUUGAGCCUCAUAUAUUGAACUCAUGCGAUUCAAAAGUCUAAAAUUAUAUACACAUUCAAGACUACAACUUUUAUGAAGGAUGCUAGGUCAGAUAAAUUUGUUUUGAAAGUAAAACCCCAAACACAAGUUGAAAGACGAGAUUAGUCUUCUAAUUUGAUGAGAAAACUUACAGGAGGGAGUUGUAUCUUGAGAAGGAAUUUAAGAGUAUCGGAAGGAUUGUUUUCUACAUCCUUUAAACUUCAUAUCUUUAUCCUUGAUUUUAUCAUGAAAUCUUAGUCCUGAGAUACAAAAACAGGGAAAGACCAACUAGACAGUUGGGUUCUAUUUUGCUCCUGGGAUUUGGAGAGAGAUUAUCUUAAGUGCUGGAAUUUUCAGAGAUCAUGAGCAACUAAUUUCUAAUUUCGAUUUAAGGAGAAUAUACUCCAUUUCUAUUAGAAAGUUGUGAGAAGUAAUGUUGUUAUUGUAAUUCUUUUAAAUUCAAAUAGUUAAUUUUCCUAGUUUAGCUUUAAUGUACUUAUUUAGCCCAUGAGAGAAGCAUAAGCAGCGAUCAUGGAAUUUCGAGAAACAAAGAUUUUCCCUUUUCAUGUCAUUUGAAACGUUUUUAGCUUCAUGUUUAUAUAUACACACACAUACUAAUUAGCUAUUAAAAAAAUGACAAACUAACUAAAAGAAAAACUUACAUUAAAAAAAAAAACAAAGAAACAACAAAAAAUACUAAUAUUGAGCAUUAAACUACCUCAAUGUAUAAUUUGAAUAUCUAGCUAGAUUAAUAUCUAUAUAAAUAAAAUUUUGAAAUUUAGCACGAAACCAUUAAACUAUACGAUGAAAAAUUAAAUCAUAAAUUUUAUUUCAACCAAGAUCAACAGCACCGUAUAUAGAUGACCAACAAAUGAUUUCAUUCCUGCAAGGAAAGCUGAAUAGUCUUCAGCAUACUCAAUCCAUUGCAUAAUCAUAACUAAUAAUUCUUCUAUAGGCAAGAAAUUUUCUGGAACUCAGACAACCCCUGUAACAACAACCACAAAUUAAAACAUCUCAAUUUUUUAGGAGGAAAUAUACUUGCUAGAGUUAAGUAUCAAAAUUCUCAGAUCCUGCAUGCUGAUUUAACAGUAAAAAUCUCAAUGGAUUCACUGACCAAAUUCCAAGCAAUCCAAUUGACCACAAGCAGAGAGCACACGAACUGAUGUUACAAACCAUUCUAAAGCUUCCUUUGGGUGGUUGCCCAGCAAUUUUGAUAAACGACAUCCUUGCUAGCUCUAGCUCUCCGCUUUUAGCAUACCCAUUAACCAUACUCGUCCAAGAGAGCACAUCUCUAACUCCCAUGGUAUCAAAGAUCCCUCUUGCAGAAUCCAAGUAGCCACAUUUCACAUGCAUUGUGAUUUACAUUUCUAGUUUUACAUAUUCGUGAAAACUCUUCCCUAUUCUCAAACCCCCCUUCUGCGAGCAAGCUGAACGAGCGGCUAUCAUAGUGACCACUGACAUCGAGUCAAAAAGCUUCCAGGUCUCAUCCCAACAGUUACGCUUAGAGUACCCAUCAGUCAUAGACAGAAAGUCCAUCUCUAACAGCAAUUCCAUCAAACAAGUGUCGAGCAAAACCCAAACAACCACGCAGGUCAUAAAAACGAGCCAACCCAUCUUGAAACAACAUAGCAGAAACAAAACCCGUCUUUCGAAUACCACAAUGAACUGAUUUCCCUCCUAAAACUCUCAAAACCUGCUCGCCGCACGCUUUGAGCGCAGGAACAGAGCUCCUACAGUCCAUUUCAGCGCCAUUCUGAAGCAUUUGGCAGGAAAACAACAAGCCACUACGGCCCAUUUUGGCUUUAGAGUAGCCUCUAAUCAUGGUAUUCCAAAUAUACCUGCAGUGUGAGAGAGGGCAAAAGGCCAAGGCAAGACAAAGCUUGGGGGUAGAUUAGCCAGACUAUAAAGGAGAAGGACUUAUUUGUACUUGUUCCAAGAUUGUGAGUCAAAAUAAUACCGCUUCUUUUCCUUCAAACGCAAUCUCGUCCUACGUUCCAGGGAAUCUUUUUACCUAAUCUCCUAAUAUAUUUGAAUGGCAUCUUGGCUUAAGCUCCAUCAAUUAUUGCUUUCGAAUAUUCUCAUGGUAUUGCUCUUUGUUUUUGAGGAUCCAAUUAAUAAGCAAAUCAUGGAGACUUGGCUGUUGACCUCAACACUCUCGUCUGCUUUGACUCCUUCAAUAUCUUGGAUGUGAACCAGGCUUGGAAUAUUGGGUGUUCUUGUUUUUGAUACAUGUAAAGAGGUAAGCUAAGCAUCUCUUUCAAGAUCUCUCUAGCUGCUGCAGCGAUUCCAAAUCGCUUUCUUUCUUCAAGUUCCUUAGAAGGAGAAUUGUAUAGCAACCAACUCUCUUUGCGUUUUGCUCCAGGUGUGGGCCAAUUUUGAUGCCUUUUGUGAAUCCCUCCAUCUGGGCUUAUCAAAAGAGGAGGAGGAAAGAAGUAAGUUUCUCUUCUCAGUUACGUUCUGUGAAUUUUAAAGGACUACACAUGUUUCAAUUCAGUACUGAGCUAGUUUCAAUUCAAACUUCUUUACAAAAGAAAAAUAAAGAAAAGAAAACUGUCCUCUGAUGUGAAUGAGUAAGCAAACUUCACAUAAACUAGGAAGGAAAGGGGAAGUUGGAUUCUUGAGUUCACAGGCUAAUGGUGGAGUCCAUGUUACAAUUGCUUUGUUUAAACAAAUCUGUUCCAGUUAGUAUUCUGUUUUUCCAUGUUUUAGUUUCAUAGCGUUUUGACAUAUCGUUUCAAACCGUUUAUAAUUCAAAAUAUUAAUUUAACAAGUAUAAUUUCAAUGUAUAACCCCAAUUCAAAUUAUGUAAUUUAAAUUUUAAACACUAGUAUAAAAGUUGGAUUUGAACUGGUAUGACCUCAUCAAUUUGAUAAGUUCGAAGAUAACCUAGAAUCCUGGAUGACUAGUAAUAAUAUAAUUUGGCUAAAAUCAUUAAAGAAGACAACAUAUUAAAUCGAUCCGAGUUAACUUGAGUUAACUUUUUAAAUCAAUGACCCGAGUUAAAAGAUUAUAAUAAUUUUAAAUAAAUCAAAUCAAAAUAAAUCAUACAGCUCAAUUCACUAAUGAGUUAGUUCUCAUGAUUUCAAAAACUAUGUGUGUAGAGUAUCUGGUUUUAAAUCAAUGGAAAUCUUCAAUUUCAGACACUUGAAAAGCGCACAAAAUAGAAAAAGAUAAAAAUAAAAAACCUAAAAAGUUAAAAAGUUAAAAAACCUGGAAAUGUACUUAAAAACCUGAAGAAAAAAAAAACUUAACUCUUUGGAAACGUAAUUUGAGAUCAGUACAUAUAUAACUCAUACUACUAGAGACAGAAUCUGAUCACAUAUAAUUAAUUAAAUCCAUUAUUAAUGAUGGGAAUUACAUGCACGUAAUACAUAUUCAAGAAACCAAGAACAGCAACAUAUUCAUUUAAUUAGACUCAAACACUCAAACAUACAUAAAUUUACACACAAAAAAACACCAAACUUAGGAAAUUCAUUCUUCUAUAUAUAUCUGGAUAUGGCCGAACAUCCUCGCUCCAUGCAAAUAAUAGCUAGUUAGCUCUUGUCACUUCAACCCAAACCUCCUCACCAAACAGCUUGAAACCACUCCUCCUCUUAGCUUCAAUCCUGAACUGUGACCCCAGGUUCUGGUCAUCCUCACGAUGAAGAACAACCUUGUCACCAACUCUCAGUCCAUAAUGAGCAACAAAAUCACGCCAGCCCAUAGAAAGCUCUGGCUUGUCAUAUCCUCCAUUUCUCUUCCGGCAACGAAUAACUCGAAGCUCACCACAGCUAUCUUUAACAUGCAAAUCAACAUAAUUAUUUCCAGCAAAAUCUAAAUACUGCAAGCAAUGAGUUGGGAACGAGAAACGAUGAUGAACAUCAGUAUCUGUCAACACUUUGCUGAAGAUCUGCAUUUUUUUCUCAAGGGUCGUAAAAAGAGAGAGAAAUGGUUAUGUUUAAGCUAUCUGCUGGAUUGAUAUGGUUUCUUGCAGGGAGCUAUCUGUUGAUUGAUAUGGUUUCUUGCAGGGAGCUAUCUGUUGAUUUAUACUAAAAACUAGCUAGCUACUGUAUUCACGGUAGAAAGACAUCGAGCGAGAGAUUUCGGAAAUCUUGUUCAUUUGAUCGAUUUCGCAUGGCGUUAUUUAAAUCUUGAUGGAUUAUUUGUAGAUAGAACAAGAGAAACGCAGGCUUAUGACUACGCUUUUUCAAAGACUAAAUGAGCCAGGAGGUACGCUCGUAUUGCCUCUCGUGCACCUCGUUCGUUCUAACUUGCGAAAAGCAAACACUUGCUCAAGAUCUUGCAUGCUUGUCUAAGUGUUUCUAGAGCAUUUUGGGCAAGGUGGGCAAUGGCCAAGGACCCCAUUUAAUAAAAAAAACUACAAGAAUAAAUAAGGUUUCUUUUUCAAUUAUAUUUUAUGAAAUGAAAAUUGUCCUCCUGUUAGACAUAUAUGAAUAAUAAUAAAAUAUAUUUCUUAAAAAUUAUAUUUUAAAAGGUUUAUGGAGUUAUUAAUCAUGCUCAAUAAUUUUUACAGUGUGCAACUUCAAUAUGAAAAUGGAGAUUUAUAUAAUAGAUUGCAUAAGAUUUGUUAUCAGUUAAUUGUAUUUUACCAUUAUUAUUGGCUCUUGUGAUUUUAGAUAAAGCUGGUUCUUGAUCUUGCAGGCAUGUGCUCUAAGUCCGCCCAAAGUUUCAUCAAAUCCUGCGUUUUCUUGAGAUUUCUGCGAGGUUUUUGUUGAAGGUGCACGAUAUUGUUGAAGGGCAAAUCCUUCCAUGCGUGUCCAAAAUUCGAAGUCAUUUUCAAUUCAAGGUCCACGAUAUAUUUUUUAUAAUAUAAUAAUGCUAGAACUACGCUCGAUCUCCUCAGCAUGCAUCGAGUAAUCGCGUUUGGAUUUCGAGUUCGACUGAUUUGAAAUGCUCGGUGGCUGUGUUGUGUGCAUGUAG
rnacentral:lncRNA from 1 species